CUUUUUUUUUUUUUUUUUUUUUUUUUUUUUUUUUUUUUUUUUUUUUUUUUUUUUUUUUUUUUUUUUUUUUUUUUUUUUUUUUUUUUUUUUUUUUUUUUUUUUUUUUUUUUUUUUUUUUUUUUUUUUUUUUUUUUUUUUUUUUUUUUUUUUUUUUUUUUUUUUUUUUUUUUUUUUUUUUUUUUAUUUUUUUUCUUUUUUUUUUAUUGUCUGUUUUUUUCUUUUAUCCUGUUUUUCUUCCUUUUCAAGAUCUUGAAAAGAGAGAGAAAAUGAGAGAGAGAGAAUGAGAAAGAGAAAACGAGGGAAAGAGAAUGAGAGCAAGAGAGAGAGAGAGGAGGAGAAAUUUUUGGAGUUUUUUUAUUUUUAGUGGCUUUGAUAUUGAAAAUACUAUAUAAAGAAUUUUAGAUGAAAUCAGUCAGUUGAUACAAUUAUUGUUGUUAUGUGCUAUUAUCGUAUGAUAAGCGGGUGGGGCUUUUCUUGUUUUCGUAAACAUCAAGAUUUUAUUGGUUGGGUCUAUGAUUCCAGCCUACAUGAUACUCAAAAGGGCCCUGGUUCAUCUGGAAAUGAAAAGUGCUUUAUGAACGUUUGGAUUGGUGCUUCCUUGACUCGGUUUGGUAACUUCAAUUUCUACCCACCUAUAUCGUGUUAAGUCGGAUCACCGACCUAUUUUCAUGGUUGCGACCAAGCUCAAGAAGUCAAAUCUUCCUCAUACCUUUCGCUUUAUGGCUUCAUGGUUGUCACAUGUUGAGUUUAAGCCUUUUUUUGUCGGAAUGGAAUCGGUCUUUUACCUUUAUUCAUCAGAUGUCCAUUCGAGCUACCAAACUGAAAAAAUGAAAUAAGGAAAUUUUUGGCAACAUCCAAACGAAUAGAAGGAGCUUAUCUUUAAACUUGCUGAUGUUUAAGCUCUCGCAGCUCCUCUACUCAUUCAAGACACCACAAUGGACAUUGCAAGUGACCGGAAUACUCAUUUUUUUCACGUAUCCACCUUCCGUAGGCGUGCUCGGAACCACAUUAUUAAGUGAAGGAUGACUGUGGGGUGUGUAUUCAUUAGGUUUGGGAGUCGGUUAAUUUGGUUAAUAACCAUCGGUUAAUGGUCGGGAAGCGCUUUGAUGAUUGAAAUUAAUUAACCAAAUUAACCGACCGAGCAAAAGCCACGGUUAAUCUUACCGACCGAUAACCGACCAAUCAGUUAAAUGAUCGAUUAUUAACAGACUGACUCUCGGUUAACCGUUGUAACCGGCUCUGACCAAUUUAACUCUCUUCUCAUAUUGCAACAAGAUUCUAGGCUCUGGCUCUAGAUCCGUCGUCGAUUCAAGCCUUGGAGACCAUAGCUUCUCUUCUGGAAACAAUCCGGUGCUCUACAACUUGAUCCUUCGGGACUGGAAGCUUUCCGAGACGGCGUUGUUGCGGAUCAGUAAGGAGAGGAGGAAGCUUCAAGCCUAUGGUGUUGCAGAUCGAAGAAUUGAGAGAGUGGAGGAGGAGAGGAUUGGCCGUGGCGACGAAGGAAGCAUGUGGUGUUGCAGAUCGAAGAAUCGAGAGAGUGGAGGAGGAGAGGAGCGCUUGCGGUGACUCGUCGUGGUCGUCGUCGUGACUGCCGGCGAGAUGCUGAAAUUGAAUCGCUUGGAUUGAUAGAGUUGUCGAGAUGGAUUGAUGGAGUUGUCGAGAUGGAUUGAUGGAGAUGGCUCGGAGUUAACCUAAUUUCAGAAUGAGAGGUUGUGAUGGAGUGGGAGGCUGGGAGGGGAGGGAGCGAUUCUGCGAUUGUGGUGAGCAAAGCUUGAUUUCCUAAUUGGGGACCUUGGUUUUUUUAAUUACCGGUUAACGUUGGUUAACUCGAGUUAACCAACGAUUUUACCCUGCUCCAACAAGUACUCCCAACUGUUCCCCGACCGACCCCUACCUCGGUUAAACCGACACUCUAACCGAGUCGAUCAGUUCAUCUGUUUAACCUAUUAACCGAGACUGAUGGCCCACCCUUAGUAUUCAUCCAGCUUGUUGCUGCAAUUAGUGUCGUAUUGAUAUGGUUGAGAGAGGAUAAAAUAUGCUUGAUUUCAAGUUCUCCAACUUGAAAGGUUUAGCUGUUAAAAAUGUAGAGGUCAUGACUGAGUACUGAUUUCCAGCAAGGAGAAGUUGGAUAUUUGCUUGCGAUAAAAAAGAAUUUGGACAGUCUAUCUUAGGCACAAAAUCUAACGGAUGAGAUGGCAACUUUACUUCAGGGGCCUAUUGGUCAUUUUAAAAUUUUCUUGUUUUUCAGUUUAUUUUUCCAUUCUGUUUAAUAUUGGUUCAAGUAAAAUGAUUUCUUGUAAAUUGGGUCUAUUGAGUAACGUGGGUGGGUAGACUUUAUUGCUCCCAUCGAGCUUGACGUGAUAUUUUCUUCUUCGUUUCUUUAACAUGCAUAAAUUGUAUAUAAUACGAAAGGUUGGAAAUAUAUGUGAAGCUCGAGGUUUAUUAUAUAUGUUUCGAGGUUUAUUAUAUAUGUUGAACCUUUUUGCCAAUUGGUUAUUUUUAUCAUGUAGUGCCUUAUCAAGUAAAGGGAAUGGUUGUUUUUAUCUACUGUCACUAGCCAACUUUCUUUCUCAUGUGAUCAAUUAUUUGAUCACGCAUGAAUGACUACAGUACACAAAAGAUAGAAAUAUUAUAAAAACAAAAAACAAAUAUUAAAAAAAAAUACCUAAAAAGCAGGUACAUAACAACAAAAACAAUAACCGUAAAUAUCAAGUACAUGAAAGCGGAUGCUCAAAAUAAGCACGCACACAUUAAAAACUUUGGUACAUACAAGGCAAGAAAAUCGAGAACAUAUUGGAACUCGAGUACCGGAAUUGGUACGGUAUUAAGUACAACGUGAAGAAAUAUCAAGUACAUUAAAAAGCGAGUAUAUAACAAUAGAAAUAAGUACACGAAAACAACUCAGAGAAAUGAUAAUUUGAUUGCCAAAAUUGAGUAUGAUAAAGUAAAAUGCAAGCACGUAGUACAUGAAACAAAUAUGAGUAAGAGUACAUAAAUUUUUUAGUACAAUACAAGACAAAAACUCAAAUACAUAUAAAAACUGGACACUAAAAAAAAUAAUUAAUUAUUCACAAUUUUAAAUAAUAAUAGUCACGAUUUUUAUCAUGAUUAACAGAAGCUAGUCACGAAAAUAAAUCCGUAACUAACCUAACCGAUGCUAGAUGAACUUGUCACGAAUCUGAAUAACCUGUAACUAAGUUGUCACCGAAAUUUUCCGUGACCAACUCAUCACGGAAGAAACCGUGAACAUAUGUGUUUUUGUUUUUGUUUUUUAAAUUAGUGGCACGGAGCCAUAUGCUGUGAUAAUUGAUUUAUUAAUAAAUUAAUCCCACAUCUCCGUGGCUACUAUAUCACCAGAAUUUCCAGAUUCCGGCAACCACAAUUUCCAGAAUCCGGCAAUAAGAUAGAGUUGAUAAUUGCUUUUUUAUUAGAGUAAAAUGUUCUACAUCUAUACAUUAUGAUACCCAUAUCAAAAUUCCAGAAUCCCAAAAUUGAACAUAACGUCAACGAAAGGCACCAUGCAACAAUGGUGACACUAAGGGUUACAACAACCAGCAAAACCGAAACACAGACUGGAAAUGCUACCAAGAGAAGGAUGAGACUAGAUGAUGAGAUUGAGAUUGAGAGAAGAAAAAUGAUAGUAAGAAAUUUUGUUUUCGAGAGAGAUCAAAUGAAGAUGAGAUCUACUUCUAAUUUAAUAUAAUGGAAAUGGAGAUAUGGUUGUUUAAUGGCAAAGAGAGAAGAAAGGAAUAGCCCAUUAAACGAGGAUAGAGUCUGCAUCAUUUCUUUUUUCGACCUUUUCCCACUAAAAUGCUAAUUUUAAAAUUAUAAAUAAAAGUUGGUCACGGUUCCAACAUUUACCGUGAGUAGUUGGUCGCGGUAUUCAACAAUCCAUGACUAGUUAUGGAUUUUUUUUUAUCUAUAAGUAGUUAGUCAUGGUUUUUAAAGCCGUGAUUAAUAAAUCGUGAUUAAUCGUUGAUUUUUUUUGUAGUGCGAGUAUGAGUAUUGAGUAAAACGUCAUGUACAAAAACAAGUACAUCAAAAGCGAGUACAUAAUUAUCAAAACAAGUACUAAAACGAGAGGAAAAGUACAUAAAAAGCGAGUAUAUAAUAAUAGAAACAAGUGCAGUAAAAAUCAAGUGCAUGAAAGGAAAACGAAACUCAAACUAAACACUAAUACAAAAAAAACUUUAGUACGCAAAUAAGUAAAUACAAGAAAAUUAACAUACACAAACGAAUACAUAAGAGUAUAGUGUUUAAACAAAGCGAUUAUACGGAUCAAUACGAUGUUGAGUACAAAACAACAACUUGAGGCUUUAUCCCUCAUUUUUAGAUGAUUUUGUACUAAGUUCUUAUAUGUAUUAGUUUUUAUUAAUGUAAUCCCUCGUGUACUUUGUCUUUGGAUUUAUUUUUAUGCCAUAUCUAUUUAUUUACGCAUUUGUGUAUACUUAUAUUUUUAGAACUUUAUACUCAAAUCAAUUAAUCAAACAAUAAAACUAUUUUCUCUUUACACGAACCAACAUAAUAACCCAUCACCCCAUACAGGGUUGUGAAGGAGGUGCAGUGACCAGAAUUUUCUAGUUGUUGCUUUUCUAUAGUUUGAUAAGGGUAAGCAUCUUGUUCUAGAAUAUAUGUUGUUAGGUUAUAACAAUGCAUCUAGUUGAGCAUGAUUCUUUGGUCAAGUGUUACUGGGAUUCUUUUUGUUCCACAUCAAUGCUCGGAGGUCGAAGAGGCAACGAGGGUGACGAAGAAAUCGGCAUCACCACGUGAGAGAAGAUGAAGAAGAGGUCAGAGAGUGGAGCCGGUGGAAAAGAUAUACUAGAAGAGGUACUUAAAGUUACUUGUACGACAAAACUGCCCUUAUUCAAUUGGACAACCCCUAGAUUAAAAUUUAAAAAUGAACGGACGCGAUUCGUUUGCGGCCAGCAAACACAUAAUAUCAUGGCUGCCUAUCCGGACUCGUCAUAACUGGCGUCAACAUUACGUAGUGUUGUCAAAAAUUAAAAAGGGGAAUAUAUAAUAAUAAUAAUAACAGACGUAAUCUUGUGUAUAUAAUGAUAUUAAAACGUUUUUCAAUCGACAAAGCCAAGUCUGCGGGAGGAACAGCUAAUGGACGAACAGCCUAAGCAUAAGCCGCCUUCUUCGUAUUCUUCAGAUUCUCUGAAUCUCUACCCUUUUUUUUUGUUACGCGGAUUCCCUUCCCUCGUCUGCAAACAAAAAGCUCUUCGUUGACUUUUUAGCAGGCUUUUUUAAAAAACCUUAAUUGAAAAAAUUUGUACAUGGUUGUUGCCUUUGUUGGCGUCAGCAUGACCCAAUGCUGUUGUCAUGUUCAUGAUUGCUCCAACUCACCUGGCUGCGCAUCUGCCUUCUGACCUGACCUGCCCUCCUCCUUUUUUUUAAAUUAUGUUUCCCCAAAAUUAAAUUUAAAUCGUUACAAAAUUGGUCUCUCCUUCUCCUAUAUAUAACGUGGAAGAGCUCCUGCCAAAAAAGUCAUUCAAACUCAAAGCAGAUAAAUUAUCAAAAUAAAAAAGAAAACCCCAGUGCUCUGCCUGCCGUUAAGAAAUUAGUUUAUUGGGUUUGUUGUGUUUAUGAAAGCUGUGUUCCAGAGACUGAUAUCGUCAAGCACCCAGAUUGGCUGUAGGAAGAAAGUUGCAUCUUUUCCAUUAAUCAGAAGCGCUAAUAUGUCUGAAUCCUCUGCCUUUGAUUCUCCGAGAUUGGUGACCAAGAAGGUCCUUGCUAAGCUUCAGCGUGAAGGGGAUGGUGCUUCUGUCAGGAGAAGCAUUGGAAGGUAUAAUAUAAUAUAUCAUGGAUGGAUGGAUGGAUAUACAAUUUUCUUCUUGUCAAAAUUGAAUUAACUGUUUUCGUUUCUGUGGUGAAAUUGAAUGAUUGAAUGUUGAAUUAUUUUGGUUCAGGAGUGAGCUCAGGUCUCUGGACCCUUUCCUCAUGUUGGAUGAGUUUUCAGGUCUGCUUUGCUUAAUUACUUGAAACCAAAUUCCUUGAUAUUUUCUAGAAUUAGGAUGAUGAUGGAUGAUGGAUGGUAUUUAAUUUGUUGUUGCAAAUUGCAAUGCAUGAAGUCUCAGCUCCUGCUGGAUUUCCUGAUCAUCCACACAGAGGUUUUGAGACUGUUACAUACAUGCUGGAGGUACAGACAGUACUGGAGUUAAUUAUUUAUUAUGAAUUGAAGGCUGUUUUUUGUCCUUGGUAGUCUAUUUAUUGAUGUCUGUGAAAUUCGUGGGUGGCACUGGCAGGGAUCAUUCACUCAUCAAGAUUUUUCUGGGCAUAGAGGGACUAUUCAUGCCGGGGAUGUUCAAGUAAAAUAAUUCACUCAAUUACAAUACUACGACGUUUACUUAAUUAGCUAGCUUUACUUGAUCAAAGUCAAAAACUCUUUCUUUUUUUAAAGUAAACAACAACAACAACUUGUGUGUUUUCCUGUUGGGCAGUGGAUGACAGCAGGUAGAGGGAUAGUCCAUUCAGAAAUGCCUGCAGGAGAAGGAGUCCAGAGAGGCCUUCAGCUUUGGAUAAACCUCUCUUCUCAACAUAAAAUGUAUGUUUUUAUUUCCUUUUUUGUUUGUACUUUCCAACUUCACCAUUCCAACAGUUUGUAAUAUGGAACCAACAGGAUUGAGCCAAGGUAUCAGGAACUUCUGAGGCAGGACAUCAAAAGAGCAGAGAAAGACGGGGUUGAAGUCCGAAUCAUAGCAGGGGAAUCAAUGGAAAUCGAGUCUCCAGUUUAUACAAGGACCCCAACAAUGUACCUUGAUUUCACACUGCAACCAAGGUCCCAAAUGCACCAGCCCAUUCCAGAAUUAUGGAACGCAUUCAUUUACGUCAUUGAAGGUGAGGGAGUGUUUGGGAUCCCAAACUCCUCACCAGUUGAAGCACAUCAUACACUCGUUCUAGGCCCUGGUGAAGGAAUGAGCGCCUGGAACAACUCCUCUUCCAAACCCUUGAGGUUUGUCUUGAUUGCAGGCCAGCCACUUAACCAACCAGUGGUGCAGCAUGGUCCUUUUGUCAUGAACACAGAAUCUGAAAUCCACCAAGCAAUUGAAGAUUACCACUACUCCAAAAAUGGGUUUGAAAUGGCGCAGUAUUGGAGUUCCCAAUAGGGAACAAGUAAGUGCUUGGAUCACUCAAAACCAAAUCUCCACAUUCCCUCUCAACUUUGAAGAAGAAAAGAGUAAAGAAUAAAAAUACACAUCCACAAACACUAAAGGCCACACGCAUAUGUGAGUGAUACUCAUUUGUGUUCCAUCAUGUAUUAAUUUAGCUUUUAUCCUCUUCCAACCUUUUACUAUUCCAAAUCAAAAGGUUGAUUAUUGCAUUGUCACACAAAACAAUGAUAAUAAAAAUACUCAAUUCAUAUAAUCCUUAGAAUUAAUUCUUUUCAUAACUAUAGUAGAUGUUUGAACAAGUGAGAACAAAAUAUAAGCUUAAUCUUAAUAGUAAUAUCAACGGAUAAUAGCACUGUGUGUCACUUAAUUAUUACCCAUGUCGCACAUAAACUACUUAACUUUCUACAUUGCACAUAAAGCCACUUAACUUUGCUUAUGCUUGCAACAUCCAAAUUUUCAUUCAAUUUAUGGAUAGACUGAUCGAAUUGAUGAGUUCUUAUUCGAGAUCUUCUGUAUGAAUAACCUCCAACACAUUAAAGAGAACAAUAAUUUAUAAGAACUGACAGAAUAACUUAUUACUUGUUUACAGAAAAGAAUGAUAAAAUAAAAAGGCAAGAAUAGAUUAUAAUCAUGCCUUGGACACUGCUUUCGAAAAAAUAUUUCCCGAAUUUAGAACACCAAUACAACUAAAGGUUAAUCACAAUAUUCACUCAAACUCUAGUGUAGGGCUUGAAUGUUGGAACUUGGAAACUUAUGCUAUUUUGAUUCCGAUUUUGAGAGUGAAAACAAAGUUUUCUGCCCAUAUUAAUCAACUAGGAUUUCCCUUUUUAAAGAGAACGCAUCCACUAACCAACAUCAAAUCCAGAUUCUCCUUUCUGAUGAUCAUCAAUGAUAAGCAGAUAUGGGGAAGGUGGAGUUGAGCUCCCGAUUUCUAGGAAGCCAACCAAAUACUUCUGUUAAGCAUAAGUCUUGAGUAUAUGCGGUAUGUAACUGAUCAUUACUGUUACUUCAAGUGGUUAGAUAAUGGUUACAUCAUCUUGCUGUUGUCCGUUGAUGACAUGUUGAUAGCAAGUUCUAUUGUAAAAGAAGUAAACAAGUUGAAGAAACAGUUAUCUAACAGUUUACUAUUAAGAAUAUAGGAGACGCUAAACAGAUUUUGAGUAUGUGCAUUGAUCAUGAUAGGCAAGUAGGAAAGUUUUAUCUUUCGCAAGUUGAAUAUAUCAAGAAAGUCUUGAAGAGGUUCAAAAUGCAGGAUGCAAAACUAGUAAAGAUUCCUUUGGGUGGCUAUUUCAAGCUAUUUGAGAAGGAUAUGCCUAAUAAUGAUCCAGAACGUGCCCAAAUGCACGAAACACCAUACAUUUUUGUAAUUGAUAGCUUGAUGUAUGGAAUGGUGUGCACAAUACCAGAAAUUGCACAUGUAGUGGGAGUUGUCAAUAGAUUCAUGGGAAAUCGGGGGGAAGCGAUUAAGUACUCCUGAGAUAGUUGAAGAUUACUACUAAAAGGGUCUUGGGCUUUGAGGGCAAAGUAAUGUAGUUAGAAGGAUUUGUCAUCAAGUGACCUUGAUAGAAGAAGAUGUACAACAUGGUAUAUUUUUACUCUUUGAGGUACCAUGGUUUCUUGGGCUUUUAAGUUGCACUGUCUAACACUCAAGCUAAAUAUGUUGCGGUAACGAAGGCCAGCAAAGAGAUGGUAUGGUUUUAGAAUUUCUUUGGUGAAUUGGGGAAGAAGAAAGAGGAUAGCAUAUUGUACAUUAGUCUUAUACACUUGCAAAAAAUUCAGCAUUUCAUUCAAAAUCGAAGCUCAUAUUGAGUUGAUGUAUCACUUUAUGGGUUGAUCUCUUGGAAAGGAAGAUCUUACGGCUUAUGAAGAUUCUAGGAAGUGAGAAUCCUAUGGAUAUGCCGACUAAGGUUGUAAAGUUGGAGAAGUUGACACUGUGUAUGACUUUAACUGGUUUUGUAACUGAAGUUGAAGGUCAGAUGCUGCUUGUAGUAGGAAGACGUUGAACAUGGAGAACCAAUGAGAGGAGUAUGUCUUCAGGUGGGAGAUUGUUGGGUUAUGGUGCCUAAGAAACUGAAGGCUUGGUCCAGUUAGUUUGUUUAGUUAGAUAAAAAUUAAGAUUAAUCUUGUCUAUUCUAUAUAGGAUUAGAAUUAAUAUGGUAGCUCCCUAUAAAUAAUCUAUAUUCAUAUCAUUGUAAUCUGUAUCACAACAAUAGUAGUCGAAAUCCUAACUUGGUUUGUAAAAAAAGAAAUUCUAGCGUGGUAGCGCCCUAGACAUACUCUUCUCGUGAAGAGGAACUAGGUUCUUAAUUUUUCAGUUUAUGAUUGCGUUUCAUUUUUUACAGGAACGACCAGAUCCAGCUCAGAAACUUCCUCAAGAUGGCGACGUUGAAGAAGCUCUGUCUCGCUAACGCCUAACAAUGGCUUCUCUAGACUGAUUCAGACUGUCCUCACCGCUGGAAAAGGAGAUUAGAUAGAAAUCCAUCUUUUAUUCCUCUUCAUUGUUUUUAUGACAAUUUCUUCUUUUCUUUUAUAAUAGAGAACUAUUUAUCACUUUUGUUGGACAUUUCUUGUUUGUUUCCCUCAAGAACUAAUAAUUUUGGUCAAUGGGUGACCACUGAUGAUGUUGAUUCUAUAAGCUUUAGUAUUUAGUCAAAUUCUUGAGUUUUUUUCAACUAGAAAAAAAAAGAAGAGAGGUUACAGUUUCAAUUAUUAAGUUUGAAGAAUUAAAGAAAAAAAACUAGACUACAGAUAUGAAAAGGUAAUUCUGAUAAUUUUUAUUGAUGAAUUUUUUUUUUGUAAUGAGUAAGAUAAUUUUUUAGGUUUUAUAAAUGGGUUUUUGGUUAAAAAUCUCAUUUAGAUAGAGUUUUUGAUGGGUAAUUAUGAAAUUUGACAUAAAGGGUACAUGAUUAAAAAGGUGGGAAAGGAAGAUGCGAAAAGAAGGUAAGAAGGAAUCAAUUCAUGGCAAAAAAGAAAAAUAAAUAAGAGGGAAGAAAGAAGACAUAUAUUGAUGGGAGGCGGAGGUGGGAUAGGGAGGUGAGAGAAAGAUGUAACAACAAAGAAGGGUUUAGCGAAAGGUGNNNNNNNNNNNNNNNNNNNNNNNNNNNNNNNNNNNNNNNNNNNNNNNNNNNNNNNNNNNNNNNNNNNNNNNNNNNNNNNNNNNNNNNNNNNNNNNNNNNNNNNNNNNNNNNNNNNNNNNNNNNNNNNNNNNNNNNNNNNNNNNNNNNNNNNNNNNNNNNNNNNNNNNNNNNNNNNNNNNNNNNNNNNNNNNNNNNNNNNNNNNNNNNNNNNNNNNNNNNNNNNNNNNNNNNNNNNNNNNNNNNNNNNNNNNNNNNNNNNNNNNNNNNNNNNNNNNNNNNNNNNNNNNNNNNNNNNNNNNNNNNNNNNNNNNNNNNNNNNNNNNNNNNNNNNNNNNNNNNNNNNNNNNNNNNNNNNNNNNNNNNNNNNNNNNNNNNNNNNNNNNNNNNNNNNNNNNNNNNNNNNNNNNNNNNNNNNNNNNNNNNNNNNNNNNNNNNNNNNNNNNNNNNNNNNNNNNNNNNNNNNNNNNNNNNNNNNNNNNNNNNNNNNNNNNNNNNNNNNNNNNNNNNNNNNNNNNNNNNNNNNNNNNNNNNNNNNNNNNNNNNNNNNNNNNNNNNNNNNNNNNNNNNNNNNNNNNNNNNNNNNNNNNNNNNNNNNNNNNNNNNNNNNNNNNNNNNNNNNNNNNNNNNNNNNNNNNNNNNNNNNNNNNNNNNNNNNNNNNNNNNNNNNNNNNNNNNNNNNNNNNNNNNNNNNNNNNNNNNNNNNNNNNNNNNNNNNNNNNNNNNNNNNNNNNNNNNNNNNNNNNNNNNNNNNNNNNNNNNNNNNNNNNNNNNNNNNNNNNNNNNNNNNNNNNNNNNNNNNNNNNNNNNNNNAUGGGUUUGUGGUUAAAAAUCUCAUUUAGAUAGAGUUUUUGAUGGGUAAUUAUGAAAUUUGACAUAAAGGGUACAUGAUUAAAAAGGUGGGAAAGGAAGAUGCGAAAAGAAGGUAAGAAGGAAUCAAUUCAUGGCAAAAAAGAAAAAUAAAUAAGAGGGAAGAAAGAAGACAUAUAUUGAUGGGAGGCGGAGGUGGGAUAGGGAGGUGAGAGAAAGAUGUAACAACAAAGAAGGGUUUAGCGAAAGGUGAUAUAAACAAAAUUAAUUUUGUAAGAAAAUAUUUUUUUUAAUGCCAUGUCAACUAGUUUGUAACUUUUAGUGUCCAUGUCAACAAACAAAAUUUUAUAAAGUUACCAAAAUUCAAAAUUUGUGUUACGAAAAGUAUUUCUAAUAGAUUGUGCCAUUUUCGGUAAAGGCUUAAUAGGUUGUGCAUUUAAGAAAAAAAAUAUUAUUGUGUUUCUACAAUUAACAUCAAUUAUCACCAAACCAUUAAAUACUAAAAACCAAUUAAGAUAUAGUCAUGUUACAAAAAAUGACUCUUGUUAUGAUUUUUUUGUUUAUGCAAUGAUAGGAUGAGAUUAAAAGGUUAAUUUCUUUUUCGACAAAACUUGUAAAAUAUUAUUAAACUCAAUUAGAUAUAAUAUCAUCUACAGUUGGUCAAUCAAAAAAAUUGAGGGUCUAUCCACCGAAACAAUCGUGGAGUUCCAAUGAGUCUGAUUAUACGCCAUAACAUGGGUAAGCUUGUUAACUUAUCUCCGGCCAUGACGCCAAUUACCACAAUCAAACUUUGCCAAAAGGCAACGAAUUAUGGACUAAAAUCCAUGUUCGGUAUGAUGAUCUUCCACAUGAUGCAAAGUCUCAACCAUGAUCAAGCUAUCACUUUCAAGAACCACAUUAGGAUACCUAUGUUGCAAGGCCAAUUGUUAGCAAAAUCUUGCCUCGACCGCCUCAGUUAAAGUAGGCUCAUAGCAACCCUACAAUUUCAACAUAUCCGCCAUUAAGUAAUGCCGAACGCCAUCCCAGAUAACCACCCCAAUACCCAUUCUGGAUCCUGUAAUGAUAGUUGCGUUUAAGGUAGUGAAACUGGUGAGUCAACAUGGGAUCGAAAAGGGACCUAGAAUCGUAAUCGUAAAAUCAAAUCGCAAAAUCAUAAAAUUUCACGGUUCUUCAAUAAUACUAAAUAUUCAGAAAUUCACCUUAGCAUAAAGACGUAAGUUCAUUAUCCAAUCUAAAAUUAAAAAUAAAAUCUCAAAUUCACCUUAAUAGGUUCUUCAGUUGCACUACUUUGAGCUGAUUUUCGAGUCUAGGAGACCGGAGACAAAAUCUGUGAACAAAAUUGUACAAUCUUACAACAAAAAACAAAAUACCUUCGAACAAAGAACCUAAACACCAAAAAUCCAAAACUAAUCUAACAAAAACAGAAUUAGAGAAAGGAAUGGGAUGAUGAGCAAAAUCAUGGAAUGGGAUGAUGAAGAAUCAUGGAAUCAAGGAAACAGAGAUACCUUCGAGCCGUAGGAGUGGCUGGAGCGAUGGGGACGACCAAAGAGGCUAUGACGAGGACCAUUGACUCCUGGUUCUGGUCUUCUAGACUUCUGGGGGACGACCGACGGGGGAGACGACAAGAGAGAAGACUGAGGAUCGAGCAGAGAUCGAACGAGCAAUCGACGACUUGCACAAUUUUUUUCAGAAGAUAAAUGAAUUUAAGGUUCGAUUUUUUGCCCAAAAUUGAACUCGGAUUUCCGUUUCGGUUCGAACCGAAGCAUAAAAACCAGCGGUCAGCACAGAGUAGUGGACUCGUGAAUCGUUGUAAACUCGUUCGAUUCCACGAUUUUCACGAUUUUGCGAGCGAUUUCAUGCCAUUAUAAGCCAUUUUGAUUGCGCGUGAAAUCUGACUCGACGGACCUAACAAAACUCGUAAAAUCGUCGAUUCCACUUCCUUCGUUGUGUAUGUACUGAUAUGGGGUUCCUGGUUUAGUGGUUGAACCGGGGUUGGACCGUUUUUAAACCGGGUCGGCCAUUUUAAAUAUUACAUAAAGUUAAAUCGGACCGAAAAAAUAUUGGAUUGAACGAAAUCAAACUGACAGUACAAAUAGUCAAAUUUUGAGAUUUAACCUUUGAAAAUUGAACAAUUUUAAAAAAUUUAUGUACAUUAUGAUGUUAUUCUUUUUUAAGUUUAUGUAAUAUAAUGAUAUUAUCUAUAGUUGAAGUCUUCCACACAUAUAUAUCUAGAAUGCUAAAGAAACCCUAAUGGAUCUUUCAAUCUUUCUUUAAUUGGGCUCCAACUACUCAAUACCCUCUCUCACACUUUUUUUCUCUAUAGAGAAACUCUCUCCCUUUUUCAUCAGAUUUUUUUCUCCUUGUAAUCUAAUCUUAUUUUUCUAAUAUUUUCAUUCUAUUUCUUCCCUAUUUGUCUCUUUUACUUUUUUCUUUUUGGAAGGUUAUUAGAAAAAGAGGACCACUAAAUAAUUCCGUCGACGUCCAGCAAUAGGGUUUUCCAAUUUUUUCACAGAUGGAUCCAUGUUUCCAAAGUUCUUUUGUUUUUUUUUCUGAUCUGAUAGUUGGUUCUUUAACUAGUUGAAUUAUCUGGUUUUCCGGGGAAAUCGGGUCAAUCCUCAGUUUUGUUCAUUCUCCUCAACCGCUAACUCAGUAUUGAUCAAAUGAUCGGUUCACAGUCGGACCGGCCGGGCUGAUAUGGUUUUGCUAACAUUGAUCUUAGUAGAGCCGACUAGAGGCCAUUCCAACCGAGCCACAAUGGCCUCAUACGAAAAACUCCUAGUUACCCUGAGUUCUUGAUAAUAAAUAAGAAUUGGAGUGCUUGUGCUAUGAUAUCACACUCCAAUUAGUGAAACUCAUUAAGCAUACACACAUUCCUUUCUUUCCAUCAGAAUCACAUAAGCAUUACCCAUCUUUCCAACUCCAAAUUCAAAACUUUGCGGUUGCUAAGUGAGAACCAAUCGCAUCAGUCAUUAGAAUCAUCAAAAUCAACCAGUGAUCAUGUUUAGAGUUACCUCAAAUCCGCCAAGUCCAUUGGCAAUCUCGGAAAUAGUGAAUUUGCAGGCAACCUGCAAAAUGGGCAUAUAUCACCAUGUCGAGGAUUAUGCUUAUACAUAUUAUACCUGUAGGUAAAAUUUACGAUGAAAUUUUCAUAAGAACUGCUCACCUUCGACGGAAUCUACAAUGACCAAGAACAAUUCCAAACAUCCGAGUUGCAAUUUGGAUUAAGACCCACUAAAAGAAAACCGUGUCCAUUAUUACGGAUAAAACCGGCCGUUGUCACUGAUAUUUCCAUGUCCCUGCCUCGUUGUCGCGGGAAAAUCAUCCGCGACAACGGGCGCCUUCAUAAUGAGGGGUGNNNNNNNNNNNNNNNNNNNNNNNNNNNNNNNNNNNNNNNNNNNNNNNNNNNNNNNNNNNNNNNNNNNNNNNNACGGCCGCCUUCAUAAUGAGGGUUGUGGGGACUAAACUAUCCGCGAAAAAUAGGGUUGGCGCGAACCCGUUAUGACCGGUUUGGUUCAAAUAGUUAGGUUGAAAGGCAUUUUAACAAGUUUAUCCGCAAAAACGGCAAGAGAUAUCCGCGACAAUGGCUAACAACAUUUGUUUUGCCGUCAUAACGGUUCCCCUAACGACGUUGAGUUUAUCCACGGCCAAGGUUGACAUUGUUAGUUUCUCCAUCCUACCCGUAAUGGUUGUUGUGCCAAAUACUAGGCCAUAAUAUCUGCGACAACAGCUCAAGUACUGCCUAAAAUUUUGUUAUUUUUGCUUGUUUCGUCCACUGUGGGCGCCUAAAAUAAAAGUUUAUAUAUGCACUAUUCUACACAUAACACAAUAUAUACCAAUAUCAUUAGCAUAACGAUAACACAUAUGAUCAUCCAAGAGUUAAUACUAUAACAUAAUCCAUAGAUCUACUCCAACAUAAUUCCUUGAUUUUUUACCUAACUAAAGUCAUUAGUUCACUAGACUACAUCACUAUCAACCUAGAUAUAACUACACUAGAGACUCGUCAUCCUCAUCCUCGUCAUUAUGACCAAGAUCCUUAUUAGCUCAAGUAUACAAAAGAAGAUAUAUAAAAUUGAAAUUAGGUUAAAACACAUAAAAUUAAGUAACAUGAACUUUAUAACAUAUAAAGAUUACUAAUAAUUUACCCGCCACAUCGUAGUCGUAGUUCUGUUGGAUGUGGUUAUAUUAUAUUAACCGCUACAAUCGUCGUUACGGAUCAUUAUCCGUGUCCGACGAUGACCUAACCGUGACACCCGUUAUCGCGGAUAUUAUCCCCCAUAACUAAUCUACGUCAGACAUCAAAUUUUGUUGUAGUGGCCAAGCUAUUCUUUAAAGCUAGUCAGCCAGUUUUAAUACCCCUAUUUUUUCGAAUAAACAGCUUUACUACUUGAAAUCCAAAUAAGCAUUCCGAUUCUUGAACAUCGCAAUGAAUAAUUUGCACGAUAGAAGUUGAUAUAGUUGACCAAAAACAGCUUUCAAUAAGAGCAGUAUUCUACUGAUAAGUCGUUCGAUUAACCAACUCACGAACUGUAGCAUCAACAUCAAACCUCAUCGGCGUAGAGGUCACAAAAUUACCGGGUACUAACGGAAGCCAUCCGUCUCCCCAAAUUCUAACGGACAUACAAUUUCCCACCCACCACCCAAGGCCACUCCAUACAAAACAUUGAGCACCAAAAAGGCUAUGCCAUAUAAAGCUAAACCCAACUCAGCUUUAAAGACAUAAUAGAAUUUUUAAAAUACUUAGCUUUCAUAAUUCUUACAAUAAGGGAAGAUGCUCUUGAGUGUAAGUUCCAAAGAUGUUUAGCAAGUAAAGUAAUGUUAAAGCCUAAAAAAUCACAUAAUCCCAUCCUAGCUUCGGAUUUCAAACUCAAUAGAUAUUCUUGACAAAAUGAGGGAUGAGCACUGGGUCGGGUCACCCAUCAAAACCCACCCGCCUAUAAUCACUCUCUACCACUACUACCCUUUUCCCCAUCACCAUAAAACUUUGCAUGCUUGUUUGUGUGUUUUUGUAGUUUUUUUGUGUGUUUUAUGUCGCUUUUCAUCGUUUGAGUAGAGAGAGAGAGGGAGAGAGAGAGGGAGAGAGAGAGAGGGAGAGAGAGUAUUUCAAGGGUUGCAUGUCAUACCAAUGAUUAAGAAUGCAUGAUAGAAGGUCUCGAUUCAAAUUAGGGUUCGGUCGGUGUCUGAUCGAAGGACGAAUGAUGCUUGCAUUAUUUUAUUUUUACUGAAAAAUUGGGCUUCUGGAGCAGCCUUUAGAUCAAUCUCAAGGUGUGUGGCUUUGCAUAGUGUGUGUCGUUUCCUUAAGUUUCUCUCGAUAGAAAAUCGAGUUUAUGGCGUGUGAUCCCACAUGCCAUGUGACUGAUUUUUGACAAAACGAACCGACCAAAGAACAACCAAAAACCCAACCGGCUCAAACCGUAAUGAACCAGAUUGAUUUUCAAACCGAUUUUCAACCAAAUCAAACUGAGUUUGACCAGACGCAUUGACCCUUCGUUGACCGGCCGUUGCCCCCGUUGACCGGUCACCAUGGAAGAAAAAACAUGGCAGUUUAGUAGUAUUUUGGGCAUAACAUUUUGCUCGGGAGUCUGAUUGACACAAGGUCAGUGACGUUGGAAACUUGUUCAGUUGCCUACAACUUUGAUGUCAUGAUGUGGCCUAAAUCCAUGCAGUUUGUGCUCAUUUUUCUUGGUUUGGAUUGAUGGAAUUUGAGAAAGUUUGAAUUGUGGUCUUGUUUGGUUUGAUGAUUUGGUGCGAUCGUGAUCAAUUUCUUGAUAGUAUUAUAGUGAUAUGUUCAUUGCAAAUGCUAACGUUUGGGAUGGUUGUCCAAAAUGGAUAAUUCUAGCUUUGCAAUGUGAAGAUUGCUGGAUGUUGAGACGUGAUCACUUUGUCACUCUUGUAUCGAUGGCAUGUUGUUGAUUUUCAUGAGAACUUGGAAUGGCAUCAUGAUGCUUCAAAGUGUGGUUGAACGUAGGUUGUUACUAGGCCUGAGAGUCGGUUAAUUUGGUUACUAACCAUCUGCUUAAUGUUCGGGGAAAAUGAUUUGGAGAUUAAAGUUGGUUAAUCGGUUUAACUGACCGACCAUAUGUAAUGGUUAAAAAGCCGACCAAUAACUGAUAAAUCGGUUAAAUAACCAAUUAUUAACCAACAGAUUAGUCGGUUAAUCCUAUGAACUGACUUUGAUUGAUUGACCGACUAUACCGACUUAACCUAACAAGAUCUGAAUCUCCAUGCUCAUCUCUGCCAUCGAGUGAGCCACGUUCUGCUCAUGAUAACCGUUCGUCCAAGCAUUCAUACUCUACUAAGAAAGCUUGCCAUGGCCGCCACUCUGAACACCGGUCAAAGAACUGAAUACUUGUUCCAAGAUCCGAACUUCCAGAACCGUCUCCAAUCCAUCUUCCCAAUUGUAGUUUGGACAAAGUUUCCUCAUCUGAAUUUUUACUCAAUCACACAACUACAACCUACACGACAACCAUAAUCAAUAGAGUGGAGGGGGAUAGGAUGAAACAGAGGACUGGUUGAAAUUAUAUGGGCCUAUGUUGCAUCCUCAAUAGCUCGUCGUCGCCAAGCCUCACUGAGCCGUCCCCGAGAGAGGAAGAGACGUAGAGUCUAGAGAUCGUGCUUUACUAGUGCUCAACACUCAUGGAGCCGUCACUGAGAGAGGAACAUAAUCCCUAAUGAAUCGUGAAAUCGAGAAUGAACGGGGAUAAGUGAAUAUGUUUGUGUGUGUGUGAGUUUGACCUAAAAAUGGGGGGAUUGGGAAUACGACGUAGACAUUUGGGUUCAGACUUGGGGUUCUUUUGACCGAUUAAUGUUGGUUAACACAAGUUAACUGACGGGUUUUAACCGAUUCACCGUUUAACUGAAGUCAGUUUUUCUCUUUGACCGUCCCCCAACCAACCUGUAGCUCGAUUAAACCUUCCUCUAACUUAUUCGGUCGGUUAAUCAAUUUUAAACGAUUAACCGAAACUGAAUUCCUACCCUUAGUUGUUACUAGGUGCUUUUGUUGCUCCCAAUUGAUGAUUUGUGAUUAUUUCCAUGCUCAUUUAAUUUGCUUCCAUUGCUCAUAUUUUGUCCUACCAUUACCCUUGAUGACUCAUUGGUUACUCACUGUUUUGGUAAAUGGUUCAAAGAAGCAUGAGGCAUAUUACUAGUCCAUUUGUUCCUGUAAUGAUAUAUCUUUGACCUCACCUUUUGGUAUAACUUGAAUGAUGCAUACGUUGUCACUUCAUGCUUUGCAUACACUCUUUAUGCUCGUUCUUGUUCAUUGGACUUGGUCAACAUUUGUGAGGAUUUCUUUGUGGCAAUUGAUGAUAAAUGAGUUAAGGUGGUCCCAUAGCUUUUGCUUACCCUUGUCUUACUAAUUUAUGAAUUAUAGGAUGCUCUUGUUUAGGAUUGCUAGUUAGUCUUGCUUGAGAAUAACUAGUUAUCUUCUUCAUUGGUUUUGCCUUUCUUUUACAUCUUGCCUAUGCCAUGUCUACUUAUGAGCUAUUUAUUGCCUAUCGUUGCCUAAUUCGAUUGGAUGCUUAUUGAGGUGGUUCCUUAGUGGCCGUAGGAUUAUGGGUUGACACCUCUACAUGCUUGAUGUGUAUGAUUAUUCUCCAUUUCGAAAUUUUCAAUGAUACUUUAAAGUCAAAUUUGAAUGCUCUUUACAAAUGUGUCAAUUUUGGCACAGUUUUCAAGGAUUCAUCAUUUAGUGUUUAUAAUUCAUUUUCGUUUUAAAUUUUCGUUUCCCACAUUUACUUUUCAUGUUUUGUUGCUUUUAUUGUUUUAAAUUUUAUUAUUUUUAUUUUAAUAGGCUUACUUUCCUUGUAUAUCCCCAAUUGUAACUUGGUAUCCGUAUUCUCAACUAAAUCAACAAAUGACACCAAAUAACUUAAAAUUGAGAACUAUAAGAGCUCAAAAGAAGGAGAUUUAGCAGAGUCUCUUAUAGGUUUCAAAAAAGCGAGGAAGGAUCUUCAAGUGGAGAGGACCCUUUCUCCUCCCUAACUCCAAUGGCGAACAAAACUCUAGCAUUAGACCACCUAAAGUCAGACGAUAAGCCAUGCAUUCAUCUCGUGGACUUUAUCUUCUAUUGCGACACCAUCAAGCUACACGGUGUUUCUGUUGAGGUUCACAUCGUGUUCCCCUUGAGUUUCAGCAACCAUCCACUCCAAGCACCUUAAAUCAUCCGUCUUAGUUUCUGCUUGUCCCCAAACACCGUACAUCGCAUGUACUUCGUGAUUUUUCCAUUCUUUGAGGCAUUUAGCUCCUCCUUGUACAUCAUACAGUUAUGAAUAAUGCCUCGACGUUGUUGUGUGCCUGAAAUUGAUAAAAAACACAACGCAACAACAUCAAAUGGACCCCAAACGGGUAUGAGACACUAAAUCGAGAUAGAAGUUACAAAUGCACAAAACAUCAUGUCGUGAAUGUUUCGAUCCGCGACACCGAUGGCUUGAAAUAUUUCAGAGUCGCCACCAAUCUGUUGAAGCGGAUUGGACGCUGUCGACAUAACCCAGGUCCUUUUGGACGUGAGUUAGAACAGGUCUGCGGAACAGAGAUCCUGGAUUCGAGAGGCGGUUACGUGCAGGGAAGGAUUAGCACCCCCAUAGCGCCCGUCAAACCGGUACUACUAAAUUUGAUAAGUUAUGUUUUAUUUUCUUAGUUUAGUGGUUUAAUUAUGCUUUAGUUUGGACGCAUAAGGUUAUGUAAAUUUUUUAGAGAAUAUUUUUAUUCAAUUGUAAGUCUUUAUGAGUUCCCACUCUUGUGGAAAUUUUUUUUUAUGUUGAUAAAUAUUUUGAGUUGAACAUUCUUAAUUUAAUUGUUUGGAUUUACGAAUUCCCAUUCUUGUGGAAAUUUUGUUUUACGCUGGUGAAUAUUUUUAAGUUGGUUAUUUUUAAUUUAUAUGUUUGGACUCAAGUCUUACGACUGCCUACGUACCUAAUUCUUUGGGAUCAAAGAUCAUGUAGUUCGUUAUGGAAAAGUUGAUUUGAGGAUUUUUUGUAAUUUUUACUAUUAUAAAAACCACGUUAUCAUGCUCAUUUUUUAUUUGAAAGACAUUUAUUUGGUUAUUUCAAAGUUGGAACUUUAUUUGCCCACUUAUGAUUAAAUGAUAAUUCUACAAAAUUCGAAACUCUUGUCACGGAUACGAAAUUCAUAUAACAUUGCUAUAAUAUCUUUAAAGGAUUAUUAUUAAGGAAAUUUCACAUUUUUUGCCAAUCGAAAAAUUAAUUGGUUUAUAUCAGUUAACUUAAUUUGACAUAAUUAAAAAUGCAUUACAAGACGGUUAACGAACUUACAUUUAAAUAAAUAUGUCACAAGUAUUUUUGGUGAUUUGACAAUUCUAUUGUGGUUAUGUUAAUGUUAAUUAAAAUGAUACGUUGAUUUGAAUAAUUGUAAAGUUUUGAGUUUUUAAGUUUACAACUUUAAGGUAUAAAUAUCAAAUAGGAUUAAAGAAGGUAUGACGUUUAUUCUGUUAUUCUUCCACACUUAUUUCACUUUUAUUCCACUCUUAAUAUGGCCUUAAUGAUAUAUGAAUAUAAUUGAAUCGACUAAAGGCUUGGCCUUUCUAAAUUAAUUGUGCCCAAGCUCGAGCUCGGCCCAACCGAACGAUGAGCCGAACCGGCGGGUAAGAGGAGGGCAGCCCGCGUGCCAAACUGGUCGAACCGGUUAUCCACGGUUCGAUCAGAAAACUCAAAAAGAUGAAAUUGCCCCUAGCGUUCCGUGCGCUGAAGAAGGGUGGCAGGGGAAAUUUUGUAACUUCACCUUAAACCUAAUCGGCCUUAUAAAAGGGCCUCUUAAAUCGAGAAAUGACUCAUUUGCAACUUCCCACUCUCUCUUUAUCAUCCCUCUUUCUAAACCGCCGCCCUUCUCCCCCCCCCCCCCCCCCCCCCCCCCACCCACCUUUAUCACGGAGUGUGCUGUUUUUUUCUAGUUCCUUUCUCUUCUUCUCAGCCGCCCUUUUUUGCCUCCUCUUACCUCUCAGGACCCCUCUUUCUACCUCCGUUUUUUCGAUUUUUCCAGAUUUGGACUUGCAUGUCAUCGGAGGAUACUCCGGUGAGUCCUCCGGCAAAAUGCAAGUCUCGAUCUGUAGAUCUAAUGUUUUAUUUUGGUAUUAAACAAUUUUGGUUAUUUGAGGGUGGUACCGACGGGGGUGGCGGGGAGGUAGAGAAAUGGAAAAAAGAGAAAGUUAGGUAAGUAAGAUUUCUUCCCUAUUCCUUUUGAUUAAUGUCUGGUUAAUUGCUAACGAAGCUAACUACCGGUUUCUUUGAUGACUUUUUUUAUGUCUUUGAAAAUGGGCAUAGUCGACAUGUUUUGGAAAAUGAGAGGAAAAGGAGAAGAUUGCUUUUAGGAGGUAAGACAGCUAAUUUUGAACCCAUUCUAAUUUUUCUAGGUAGAAGUAACAAUUCUAUUUGUUGAUAAGUUGCAUAAGAAACUAGGUUUGUUUUGUUACUGAAGUUGUAGUAGUAGUCUAGGUGUUUUAAAAAGUUUUGUUUGAAAAACUUUAUUUUUUUUACUAUUGUUUAAAUUUUUUUAGCAACAUUGUUUAUUCCAAAAAUCCGUAUUUUAACUCGAUUUUACUAUGAGUUUCAUAGUUCUUUAGGUCUUUGGUGCGAAAAUGAUGAAAGAUGGCUAUAGGUUUCGUUGUUAAUACUUUCCAAUAACUUUUAGUUCAUUUUUGAAGCUUAUUUGAUUGAUUUGUUGGUUGUUUAUUAAAAUGAAUCAUUUAUUUGAUUAGUUGCAACGAAUCAUUGGGUUCAAUAGUAGUUUAGAAGGUUGCUAAGUGAUAUAGCAUAACAAUGUAUAUGUAUGAAUGAUGUGUGAAUGCUUCAGAAUAGGGAUGUUUUGAAUGAUUACCUUCAUUCAAAAUUUCUCUUUUAUCGUAUUUCAGGUGGCGGCGCCUAUCGUGAGUGACGUCAAACCGAUUUGGCGGCUUCUAUGUGUAUGGCGACAAAAGAUGUUGUAAAACUUAUUUUUUUACAGUUUUGUAAUUAUUUCCCGGGACUUUGAACGAGUGAUGUUGGUGUAUUAUUUUUGGGGGUUUUGGGAAGAACUGGGGGACGAAUUUUGAAAACUGUAAGCUCCUCUUUUUGCUGAUUUUUGUCAGUCCAUUUAAAUGCAGAAAGGGCUACAGUCACUUCUUUUAACCAACCACAUCUUGCAAAGUUUUCUGACAAAAAUAAAAGGUGGCAGCUCCCCAAAUAAUAACCGUAACGGGCCCGAUAUUGGGCUUGAAAUAAGGCCUGGAAUCGGGCCCGAAAUCAAAUUGGGUCUAACACAUAAAUAGUUUCGAGAUAAGGGAUUUUGCCGAAUUUCGAGAUAGCGGACUUGAGGUCCACUCAUUUCGGCCGUUUCCGUUUAAAAAGAUCUAAAACAAAAUCGGCUUAGAACAGUCUGUAACAUAAUAAUUACAUCUCGAAAAUAUGCUAUUUGGCUACCAAGUUCUCCCCUAACGUGCACUUUGAUUAAUUUAACUGAAUAAACUUCGCAACAAGUAAAAUCUCGACGCUAAAUCCUUCCUAGAGAUGCUACGACUAUUUAGUGAAAUGACACUGGCGUGCAUUCUUCACUCGAACGAAAUUUGGUUACUACAGUUGUCCCUCUUUGUAUUACUUUCGCUUGGAAGUGGAAAGUGGUACAAAGACAGAAACCAAAUUUCGGACGAGCGCCUGAACUUCUCACGUCAAGUCCACUAGGGUCCAAGGAUCUGCCACAACAUCGGGUAGAAAACAAAAUUUGCAACCUGACCACACAAACAACAUGCAAUGCAUUUCCCUAUGGGUGUUAGGGUGAAUGUACUAGGGACUCAGCUUGACUUAUCUCCCGUUCCAUGGGUUGACUAUACUAGGGACUCAACUCGACUUAUCUCCUGUUCCAAGGUGCAAUCCGCUUUCCCCAGGAUGCUAAGGGUUGAUGUACUAGGGAUUCGACUAGACUUAUUUCCCGUUCCAACGUGCGAUCCGUUUGCCUUAGGACGCUAAGGGUUGAUGUACUAGGGAUUCAGCUUGCUUAGUUCCCGUUCCAUGACUACAAAUGUGUUGAUGAUGAAUGGUUUCGAAAGAGUUUGAGUAAGGCUCCCCCUUUUUGAAAAAAACAUGCAUCUGAUGGCAAUGCUUGAUUGAUAUUUUUCAUCAUUUUCACUCCGACGAGAUUCACUGUUUUGUUUUCUUGUCGCUUAGUUCGCACUACGUGCUAGCGCAAUGGUGUCAACCCUGCUGAUAGCUGGGUAACCUUUAAUGUAUGUGCCCAUUUUUCUUUGUUUUUCCCCCGACGUCUUCAUAUUAUUCCCAUGCCUUGGGAUUUUAAGGAUCUCUUUCCUACUUUGUCUCUACUUCUAGAUAUAAUGGUAAGAUAACGACGACCUUUGUAAAUUUCUUUCUUCGGUUAGGAAUAAGUGGAGAAAUCCUGCCAUCCGGGCUUCUUUUCUUUAACCCUUCCCUUUUACUAAUUUUUUCAUUCUUUCAACGGUUUUCAUUAUUAUUACUAUUAUUUUUCUCCCUUUUGUCUUCACUUUACCGCUAAUUUCAUUUGAAAAGACCUCCUAAUGAUUAAUUAGAGCGAAGGUGUUUGCACGAACGCAUUUGCCUCAAGUUCCUGUGGGGUGUUGUACCUCAUCCAUUUUGUUUGGUGAUGCGUGAACAAUGGUUAGGAGAGUAGUAUUUGAGAAUUCAUGAAGUAUCCAAAACUUAAAGUUGACUUAAAUUAUCACUUUAUUGAUGGAAAACCGAUCACGUAGAUCUCCGUCAGGAACUUUAAGCAUAGUACUUGUUUACUGAAUAAGAGUUAAAUAGGUAAGGGAGCUUGUCUCCGUCCAUGUUUGCCAGUAUUAAUGCCCCCCUGAGAAAGCCCUUUCCCCUACAUAGGGCCCUUCAUAGUUCGGCUUCCACAUUCCUCUUGGGUCCCCUUGUCAAAUGGAAAUCUUCUUCGUUACCAACUCUCCUUCGCGAAAUUCCCGUGUUUCACUUUUUUUUAAAAGAUCUGAUAAAUCUGCACUGAUACAGGCGUUAGUGGUGGAUAGCUGCCAACCUUUUCUCAUCAAUUUAAUUUAACUGGUCGUAUGCCGCUUUUACCUACUCAACUUGUUCUAACUUCGCCUCCAUGAUAACCCUUAGUGAAGGCAUUUCUACGUCCAUGGGAAGCACUGCCUCCAUCCCAUAGACCAAUUGGUAAGACGUCGAUCCCGUUUAGGUUCUUACUGAUGUUCAGUAACCGUGCUGGGUAAAUGGUAGAAUUACGUGCCAAUCGCGGUCGGUAACGACCAUUUUCUGUAUGCUUUUCUUGAGGUUUAUUGUUUGUCAGCUCGACCGCUCCGUUCAUCUUUGGUCGGUAUGGUACCGAGUUGUGGUGCUUAAUCUUAAACUUGUUGCAAAGCUCAUGCAUCAUCUUGUUGUUGAGAUUUUUCGCAUUGUCGAUUAUUAUUCUUUCCAGGAGCCCAUACUAGCAAAUGAUUUCCUUUUGUAUGAACUUUUUGACAACGCUCUUGGUAGUGUUUGCAUAUGACACAACCUCGACCCAUUUCGUGAAAUAGUCGAUGGCUACUAGGAUGAAACGGUGCCCAUUAGAUGCUUUUGGUUCAAUCAUGCCUAUGACCUCAUGAUGCAAAAGGCCAAGGCGAUGCCAUAAUGUGCAACGAUGAUGGAGACACGUAUUUCUCACCGGCAUAAACCUGGCACUUAUGGCAUUUUCUCACGUGUUUUACAUAGUCAGAGUUCAUCUUCGUCCAAUAGUAACCCAUCCUUAAUAUCUUCUUAGCUAGCGCAUGACCACCGACAUGUGUGCCGCAGACUCCCUCAUGGACUUCUUUUAUUGUUCUCUGAGAUUCAGGGGCAGCUACACAUCUUUGCAGCACAAAAUCAUGGCUUAGUCUGUAGAGGGUAGUCCUAUGAACAUAGUAACCCAUCUCCAAUCUCCGUAGAGUCCUUUUAUCAUUUUCAGAUGCCCUAGCUGCGUACUCCCUUUUAUGUAGGUAGGUCUUUAUGUGAUGGUGCCAGGGAUUCCUCAUGCUCUUUUUGGACUCUACCUAGGUAGGCAGGUGCAUUUUUCUUUUUGAUUUUGCUUCAUGGGUUAACCUCGGUCUCGUCCAGUUUGUACAUCGAGGACAAUGUGGCGAGAGCAUCCGCUAUUUGAUUGUCGACUCGCGAGAUGUGCUCAAACUGUAUCGACUCAAAUUUUGCGGCCAUUUCCCCUAUGUAUUUAUGGAAUGGGACAAGCUUAUGACCCCUAGUUUCCCAUUUUCCUUCAACUUGUAUAUUACUAGCGCUGAAUUACCAUAUGCCUUCAAAUUCUUAAUAACCAUUUCGAGGGCUCCUCGGAUCCUGAAAGUGCACGAUUGGCACUCUGUUAUGUUGUUGGUGCAAUCGAAGCAAAUUUUGGCAGUAAUAGGGCACACCCUCCCUUCAGAAGAGACAGAAACGACGCCGACGCCCUGUCCCAAUGAGUUUGAGGCCCCGUCAAACUUCAUCACCAAUGUUUUUUGGACGAAGCCUUCCACUAAUUUCUCAGUGUUCAGUAUAGUUUCAUCCGGAAAUUCCAUUAACAUCGGAUUCGUGUCCGAGAUUGCAUGCUCCGCUAGAUGUUCUGCCACUACACUCCCUUCAAUGGCCUUCCUUCGGAUAUAAACGAUGACGUAUUCUGCCAGCAGCACUUGCCAUUAGCCUAUCCAUCUGGAGAGGGCCAACUUUUCGUGGACAUCCUUGAUAGGGUUCAUUUUUUAUAUUAGGAGCUUCGUGUGAUAUAACAUGUACUAUCUCAGCCUUAUGGCUACCCAUACAAGUGCUCCGCAAGUUUUCUCGAGCGAUGUAUAUCGAGAUUCGUAGUCAUGAACUUCUUGCUGGUGUAAUAUAUUGGCGCGCUCUUUCCUUCCCGAUUCAACAUGUUGGGCCAACAUCGCGCUUACCAAAUUUUCAAAUACCGUGAAGUACAAUAUUAGUGACCUUCUAGAAGUUGGUGGGGCCAGAACCGGAGGGUUUAAUAAACACCCUUUGACUUUCCGAAAGGCAUGAUGACAACCUUCAUCCCACUCGACAUUCCGGUUCUUCUUUAAAAGCUUGAGAAUGGGUUCACACGUUAAGCUCAAAUGCGAUAUGAACCGACUAAUGUAGUUCAAGCGUCCUAAGAAUCCUAGCACCUCUUUAUGCAUUUAGGGAGGAGGUAUGUCAACCAUUGCCUUCACUUUGUCAGGGUCCACUUCAAUCCCCUUUUGGCUAACCACGAAACCGAGCAGCUUCUCCGAGGUGACUCCGAACGUACACUUUUCUGGGUUCAGCCAGAGCUGGUACUUCCCGAGUCGCUCGAGCAAUUUUCAUAGCACAGUUACGUAGUCGUCUUCCUUUUAUAACUUUGCUAUAAUGCCAUCCAGAUAUACCUAUAUUUCUUUGUGUAUCAUGUCAUGAAACAGUGUGACCAUGGCCCGCUGGUAAGUUGCCCUAGCGUUCUUCAGCCCAAAAGACAUAACUUUAUAGCAAAAGGUUCCCCAUAAAGUGAUGAUGGUCUUUUUUUCUCGAUCAUCCGAAACAUCCUGAUAUGGUUGUAUCUUGAGAAACUGUCCAUGAAAGAGAACAUAUUAGUUGACGGUAUUAUCAACGAGGACAUUUAUGCGAGGCAAAUGGAAGUUGUCCUUUGGGCUUGCCCUAUUUAAAUCUCUGUAGUCUACGCACAUUCUCAUUUUUCCAUUCUUCUUAGGCAUAGGGACCAUAUUAGAGAUCCAAUCGGUGUAUUACGCCACCUGUAAGAACCCGAUUUCGUAUUGUUUCUGCACUUCUUCCUUAAGUUUGAGUAUCCAUUCCGGUUUCAUCCGCCAUAACUUUUGCUUUACUGGCUUGCACUCCUCCUUUAUUGGCAAGUGAUGUGUUACUAUUGUUCAUCGAGGCCCAACAUAUCUUGAUAAGACCUUGCGAAAACGUCCUAGAAGUUCUGGAGUAGUUUGACGAGCCUGUUCUUUUCUGCUUGGUCUAAACUGUCCCCUACCUUAACCUGUCGCCGAUUGUCCUCUGUUCCCAAAUUCACGACCUCUACUGACUCGUAGAAAGGUUUCAAGGAUCGCUCUUCUUAUCCUGCCAUCCAAUCUGUUUCUAGGUUAGAACCAUCACUGGCUUCCUCGGUUUCCAUCUCAUAAACUGGGUGGUGAAAGUCAACUUUAGUGUUUCGUACCUCUUCAUUGUUUUCAAACACAUCUGUAACCCUGUUACGUGACGGGAAAUAGAAAAGGGAAAAAGAAGAAAAGCGGAAGUGAAUAAUAUAGACGAUGCACGGAUUGAGACUUAUGAAAACAUGCUUUAUCAAACAUGUGAAAAUGUGAUACAUGCAUUCAGGAUCACUUAAAAAACACUAGGAAGCCCUUGCUUAUUUUAUUUAGUAGUCAUAUUUUAGAGUUAUUACAUCUGCAAUGGCGAAAGUAACUCCAAAGCCUCCCAAUUGCUUAGCUCUUCCUUUGGACGGAGCUGCCGCACCCAUUUUAUUCCGGUCAUAAUUCCCGUACCCAGCAUGCUGAUGAAGAGAUCUGCAAAAUCCGACUGUAACUCUUUGGUGGUCGGAUCAGUGUAGUUUUUCCUCACAUUUAUCUUUCCAGCAUUCUUGCUUGUGAUGUGAGGUAUGAAAGUCAGGCCUUCAUCAUCUUCUGUCCCACUUAACCUGGACACCCUCCUCCUUAUCCGUUCCUUUUGGAUCCUCCUUAUAUCAUCAUCGUUUAGAAUGUAUCGCAAUCCCGCACGGUUCUUAUUUUCUUUGACCUGGAUGGGUUCUUUCAGCACCUCCUGCCAUUAGUAUCAUAGAUUCCAUACUCGAUAUUAAUCUAACCGAUGUCUCGAGACUAAUUAGAGUUAAUUACCAAGUGCAUUAAUAUAGUACAAUGAUUAAUCUGAAAAUUAAUUCCAAAGCGGAUCGACAUUCCGCCCCUCUCUCAAGUGUAGCGGAGACGACGAUAGACCUUGGCGUUUGGGGAUUUAGUCUCACUUUCGUAUCUAAACCAAAUCCCAACAAUAAUCUUACAACUGGAAUUCGACAAUUACAAAAUAAAGCAGUAGCUAUAUGCAAGAGAAAGACAAUAACGAAAUUAAUGAUAGUUCCGCUUAACACAAUCGAAAUUAUGUCGUAUUAACACAUAAUCAAGGUUUCAUCAAUUUCGGACAGACAGCUUAGUUACACAUGGUGAUCAAAUUAAAAACACAGAAAUCAAGAUAAUACAUGAACCUGGAGCUCCAUGCUUCAUGAACGCUCUGCCGUCGUAAAAUUCAGCAAUGUAGGCGGUCCGAACGGAAGUUCCGAAAUGGAUUUCUUCACCUUCGGAGCUCGAAAUUGCAUGCGGUUUGAAGUGGCAUGUUCCUGGGUUGAAGAAGGACGUCUUGGGGCAGAGUAGGAAGGCUUGCGGGUCUGAUAUGGUGUGUGUAUGGUGUGAUUUCGAAGUGGACAUGACUUGCCCUUAUAUAGGCUCGAAAAAUGGCGUAUUAAGGCCUCCGACAUGGGCAUACCAACUCCAUCAUCUGUAUGCAAGCUGUAGCUGUCCCUGGACUGAUGAUGGACGGAUCUACAUGUGCUGGACGUCCUCAACCAUGCCCGGUUAUCCUUCCGGCGAUCGGUUGAGCGGUGGAUUGUAAAACGGGUCGUAACUUCUUCGUUGCAAAUCUGAUUUAGCUCCGGUUUGUAUCGUUGGAUUUUUAAUUCAUCCCUUUAUAAUACGUGACCUGAAAUUUUAUUAAACACACUAGAAGAAAUAUAAAAUUGGACCAUAAAGGUCCAAGGGUUGAAUUUACGGAAUUAAGUGCAAUAUAACUGAUAUCCGUCGAAACUUUUGUUUGCAAUUGAUAUUAUGACUUGAAGUGUAGAAAGUUUAGUGCCAAAUAUUACGGUAUGUUAUGAUGUGAUCAAAAUACCCCACACUUAAACUUUUCUUGUCGUCAAGAAAACUGUAACUUAACCCACACGAAAUACCAAAGAUAGUUACCAUCAUUUAUACAAGGUUUAGGAAAUGUAAUUUUACAAUUUACGAUGCAACAGAGGUUAAAUGCUUGGCCACAUCGGUGAGAUAAAUCUCUAGUUAGAAAUUCACGAGACAGUGCACACCAGAUUAAUCAAGAUUCAAAUGCUAAAAAUAAAAGGGUUAAAUGCAUUUGUUGCAACUAUAAGAUUCAUUUUGCGCUUCCUUACGAAAUUAUGAAAUUUUAUUUCUUUUUUAAAGUUUCAAAAUUUUGAAUAACCCGUAGCCGAGCAAGACUAGUGAGUACUAUACUCAACCUUUUAACACAUUUCAUUCUUCCCACACACACCUCAAUUAAGUCCCGUAUGGGAGGCAUCUAAACUGGCUGCCUAAUUGGCAGGGCAGCUAAUGCAGAGGUGCUAGUCCUCUACCACACGCGUUAAGUUAAUCAUUGAAUUAUUGAGACAAAUUAAAGAAGCAUUUUGAUUUAAACAUUUUUUUAUGGCGAAAGUUGAAUCCAGUUUUGAAUUUGCAGAUUUAAACCAAACAUUUUAAGCAUUUGCAUCAAUUAAUCCGAGAUGUACUAAAUACAAAAAUGAAAGUCUAGUAAAAACAAGUGGUCAUUCCGCAACAACUACCAUGUCACCCAUAAUCGUUACAUUCCCAUUGUCUAUUUUAAUGUGAUCCCUAAAUUGGUAGAUGUGUAACCGCUAGUACUGUUUGUGAGGAGAUUAAAGUAAAGUACGGAUGAAAUGUUGAAAAAAAUUUAAAACACCUCUCGUUACACCAUCACCCAACACUUGAAUUAUACAUUGCCCUCAAUGGACUAUGAAUCUGGGAUAAGAGGGAAACAAGUAUACCGAGAUAUCGAGAAUGACAAUGCCAAAGUAAACUGCUCUAUAAUACCUGUCUGUCGGAUGAUAACGGUAACACAGUGAUAACAAAACAAAACAAAACUCAAAACACAUUUGGCAAAUGCCACAACUAAAAAUCAUACUAAAUCACACCACACAAUGAUGCAGAUCCAAGAUAAAUAUAUUCGAAAAUGUUAAUAUUUUGAAAUACAUCAAAAAGAAGAAGAGAAAAAUACACAUCCUAGAUCGAAAAAUCAAUCAUAACUAUCGGAUCAUAUUCAAAAUUUUGGGCAGAGUCAAGAUGAUUUUAAGGGUCUUGGAUGAUUUUAUUGAAUGAAAUAAGAAACUUGGGUUGUCUCCCGAGGACCACUUUUUUAUCGUCUUUAAGUUAGAAGUUUCCAAGAAAAUUAUUUAAUUAGCCAGGUGAAACACCUCAUGGAUGGUGAGAGAGUCGCUCGCAAGGUAGAGUUUCAACCGAUGACCAAUAACUUUAAACAUACCAUGAUCAGGGCUCGAGAUUUCAACAAUUUCGUAAGGAAGAACUUCAGUCACUGUGAAUGGGCCCAACCAAUGGGAUUUAAUUUUCAUGGAAAGAGGCGAAUCCUAGAAUUAUAUAGGACUAUGUCUCCCGGACGAAAGUGUUUUCCAGGUUUUAACCUUGCGUCAUGAAGACGCUUUGUCUGUUGCUUAUACAAAUUGCCAUUUUAAUAGGCAUGAAGAUGGAAUUCCUCCAGUUCAUGUAUGUGGAACUGAUGGCGAGGUCCAGCGACACUCAUAACAAGGUUUAGAGAUUUAAAGGCCCAUAAUGCCUUAUUCUCUAACUCAACAAGCAGAUGUCAUGCCUUUUCGUAGAAGAGACGGUAAGGGGUAGUGCCGAUAAGAGUUUUAAAAGUGAUAUGCCCAAAGUGCAUCGUCCAACUUUUUUUACCAAUCCUUGCGAGUCCAGGUGACAGUUUUCUCCAAAAUCUACUUAAGUUCUCGGUUCGUUACUUUCGCUUGACCACUAUUAUGUAGGUAGUAACCAGUGGACAGACGAUGAGUGAAACCAAAGCGGCGACACACAUGAUCAAACUGUCCCUGACAGCGGGUUCCUCGAUCGCUGAUGAUAGUGCGAGGUGCUCCAAACCGAGUGAAAAGUAGUUGCACAACUGGCUUAUAAGCUAGCCUCUUCCAUAAGAACUUUGUGGGUAAAAAAAGAGGGAGAGAUGCUUCGAAUAUCAUAGAUUUUCCAAGAAAUGGCCUUAAUAUGCUCUUUUAAAAGGGUGAUGAGACGUCCCUUUUAUUCCGGAAUGAGGGAGGCAAUGAUACUGACUAGAAGCUUCGAGUAAUCCAUCAGAAAAGCAUACUUGAGGUGCUCCGGUAGUGCUUUCAUCUUCAAUAUUGGAGGCUCCUCAUAUGAGGGUUUGACGGGCUCAAUCCUUGAGAGCUUGACAGGAGGUUCAGGAGCAGAGUCUUAGCAAUCUGCUCAAGUUGUUGUACCUCAUCAGAAGCAUCCCAAACACCAAAAUAAAAGGCACAACUCGAGAGGGUCUUAGCAAAUGCCCUCAGAUAAGAAGAAUACUGAUCCAACCUCAAUGGAGUCAGCAGGAUAGUUUCAGUCAUCCUGGACAUGGGCAUAUUUCAUCCUGUCAGCAUGGCGAAAUGUGGCCUUUCCUUGACCUACUUGAAGAGUAAGCUCGCCUUCAUGGACAUCAAUGAUGGUGCGAGCCGUAUUUAAGAAUGGGUGGCCAAGAAUGAGGGAGGCAUCUGAUUCAUUGGUGUCAAUGAUAACAAAGUCCACCGAAAAGACAUAAGGUCCCAUCUGCAUAAGUACAUCUCUCAGGAUUCCACGACAAAUUCGAGUGGACUUGUUAGCCAACAGGAUGGUCAAUUGAGUCGGUGUUGGUUCUCCUAAAUCGAGCUGUUGGGAUAUCUUGCAUGGCAUUAGAUUGAUACUUACCCCAGAGUCAGCCAAAGUCUUAUCCAUGCAGGUGUUGGUGAUAUAGUAACAUAAGGUGAAAGAAUCGUGAUCCUUAUGUUUCUUAGGUAGCUGGUUCAGAAUGGCAGCAUAACAUUCAACAUCAAGAGUAACAGACUGAAUCUCAUCCAAUUUUCUCUUAUUGGUCAGAAUCUCCUUUAGAAAUUUCGAGUACUAGGGCAUUUUGGUAAUUUCCUCAAUAAACAGGAUAAUGCCAUUUGCCGUAAUCAUAAGUUCAAUGAACCUUUUGUAACUGGCACCCAUCAUAUCACUCCUUAGACGAGAAGGAUAAGGAGGUUUUGGUUUGUAGGGUGGUAACUCUGGCUUAGGGGGAGAUGGUUACAGUAGCCUUUGGAUAGGUGGCCGAGGUGGCUUUCUCAUCCUUCUUCUCGACGCUAAAGUCAAUGAUCAGCGUUGGAGGAAUGAUGACAGGUGUGGACUAUGGAAUGGGAGGAUCCUUACUGGUGGUUCCACUCUUGAGGGUGACACCUUCACAAGAUUCCGAAGUGUCAAAUCCUUCAUUAGUAACAAAGAUUGCUUUUGAUUCUUCUUGCAUAGAAUUGUUUUCUGUGUUGCUAGGGAGAGAGCCUUGUGGUCUCUCACUAAGAAUUUUGGAAAGAUUUUUCAAUUUCAAUUCAAUGUUAUGGAAAGUGGUUUGUUGCCCACGGAUAAUCUUUUCCAACCUCUCGAGUCUGGAAACUUCAUCAGACUUGGAUGUAGAAGAGGCUUGAAUAGGCGGUUAUUCAGGCUUUUGCCCAAAACCAGGAGGUCAUUGGUUAUUAGUAUAGUUCCUCGAUUGAUAGCCUUGAUUAAGACGAGAGGCAGAGUUUCCUUGGUUGAAGGUUGAUCUGUAAUAGGCAUGUUCAUCUAAUUUGUGAAUGUUUUGCUGUUGUGACGGUCCUGAGCAUUGGGUAUCAUGGUUGGUUUGGUAAGAGUUUUGGAAAGACUUGGAUUUAACUUGAUUUCAAAAGUUUGAGUUUUAAUUUUGACCAAAAAUUUAUCAAUCUUGUGGGUAACCACCACCCAAAAAGUCAACUUCUUCUGUCUGGUUAAAAACGGUAUCCCCAGAGUAACAGUCAGUAGAAUCACAUCCUUGAUCCCCUCAAGCAACAUAGACAAAGAUUAUUGCCGUCGAAUUCUAUAGGGUCCUGACGUUCAGCUUGCUCACUUUUUGAGAAAGCGCAUGCAGCUGAGAGAGAACGGGAGAAAUAACCGUCCCAAGGGUUUCAUGACGAAUCACAAAGGAUGAAGUGGUAGGCGGGGUGCUAUGAUGCUUCCCAUGUUGCCUAGUCAAAGUAUGACUACACAUAUCACAUCCAGCAGCCAGGUUGAUCAUUUGUGUGCUUUCCCGAUUGAGCCUUCAAUUGAAAAUAUCGGCUUGGUUUCGGUCAUCGAAGCUGUGAUGAGCGCAAGAGCGGAGGAGGGCUUGGAAUCGAUUGCAUGCUUCAUAUAAUUGUUCAUUAUCUCAUUGCAUGCAAUGGAUAAUUCUCUCUUUUAUCUCACCGCGCUUCUAUGGAGGAAAAAAUACCUUGAGAAAGGCUUUAGCGGGACCGUCCCACAUGGUAAAACUCCCUACUGGUUGAGAAACAAGCCAGAUUUUUGCAGCUCCCUUGAGAGAGAAAGGGAAACGCUAGAGGCGAAUGGCAUCAUGGUGCACCUGUUGGAGUUGUAAGGUGUCGCAUAUUUUGAGUAAGUAUUUGAUAUGUUGGGUGGAGUUAUCGUCCUCUUUCCCCAAGAAUUGGACUGUUUGUUGGACCAUGUAGAUCAUAGCGGGUCGCAAUUAAAAAUUGUUGUCUUCGACGUGGGGUCGGGCGAUGGAGGACCCCAGGUUCUAGAGACUUGGUUUGGCAUAAUCGCCAAGUGUCUUCUCUUCAGCCAUGGUGAAGGAUCCUUUGGGGGAAAUGCUUACGUGAUCUUCGCCAGAGUACUCAUCCUUGGAAUCCGUUCUACCGAGAGCCGGAGGUGCAAUUGUAAUUCCUUCAAGGACAUGUUUAGAAAAUUACCAAGUAAUCCGUCGAGUCAUUCAUUUGACCGAAUAGGAGUUUGGAAGAUGGGAGGAGAGAGGGAAGCAGAAUGAAUGAAUUCGUUGAGUUUUAGGUUUUGGAGGUUUGAAGAAGAAGUUUCGAGAGAGUGUUAAAGAAGGUGAGUGGGAAGAUUAUGGAGUACUUUACUUAGAAACGCCGCCUUGUUGCCAAAACCAAAACUUUCAUUUCAGUUCCAAGGAAAGUAGGGGAGUCACUCAGACUACUUAAAUCCCUUUAAACUUUAGGUAGCAUCUCUUUACGAAAGCCAAAAUAAUCCUCUCAUCUUUUUUAAUUCUCCUUUCUUAUGAUUUUAAAUUUUUUCUAUUUUUCUAUUUUUAGUGUUUAAAUUCAUAUAAAUGAUUGGUAGCAGAUUUUUUUAUUUUUUAAUUAUUUAUUUGGAUUUUUUUGUGGAAUAGGAAAGAUUCGGAGAUGAGUGGAAGAUAUGGAAAAGAUUGAGAGUUCAGUUGAGCAAGAUAAAAUAUUGAAUGGCUGAAAUGUAGAGAGAGAAAAGUUGAGUGACCAAGAGGGGAGCAUGGGAAAUAGUAUCUAGAAAAUAAAUAUAAAAUAAUUUAAGAAAAAGUAUUAUUAUUAAAAGUGAAAAUUUAGUAACUGUUUCGUACAAAAGGAACGAGGUCCACGACAACGACGCCAAAAUUUGAUCACCCCCGUAGGCAAGUUUAAAGAUAAACUCGGAAAAACCGAGGUCGUAUUCACGCGGAUUCAUUCCGAGUAUUACUCCUGAAAGUGCGAAGAUGAAAGUCUAAUCGUUGGAAUAGCGGGUAUGAAAGCACACAAAUCGCAAUCGAGUAUAAUGGAUGAGUGAAACCUGUCCGGAAAUGAAUUCACCAAGAAUCAGAGCAAGGAUGGUCAUUGUAACCCUUCUUCCUUGUUGCAGUUUCAUCAUGAUAGGCUACACCUUUUGUUGUUAGAUUAGGGAUGAUGUGGAUGCAAGGAGAAUCCCCUCAUAAUGAGGGAUUGGACAAGAUUUGGAUGAUUUGUGGGCUUGCUUUGGAUGAAUGUAGGGAGAUUGAUGCAUGUACACACUUGAUUAAACUAGGAGUGUAUCAUUGAAUGAGAAAUUGGUAGUAUACGAGGACCUUCCAUACCCAAUUCAUCCAUCUUUUUUUGUAAAUUGCAUUGACGCAUUUAAUCAAACAUUUGGCGUGCAUUUUGGUUCUUUCUUAGUGGACCAAACUAGGUUUAGAUAGAGUCAUUGGGUGUUGAUGUGACCACAUUAGCAUCCUUCAUAGGUGUUUGGGGUGCCUUAUUUCCUUGUGCAUCAUCAUAUUAUUCCGAUUGAACAUCAUUGAAUGCACUUUUGGCUUAUAAGUUGUUUGUGACCACAACAAGUUAUAAGGUCCAUUGGUACUGUUAGAUAUGACCAUGCAUAUAGACUUUAACGAAUAGGAAUGCAUGGAAGCUUGUAUAGUUUGGUACCUAACAUUACACUUUGGUCAUAAAAUACCCAUCACAUAAUCAUAAAAUAUUCAUAACAUUUGGUUUAUGUUUUUCUCGCAACUCUUUUUGUUGGAUUUAAUAAUCACCACCAGGAUGCCGUUUUUAGAGUCUGUUUAAUGUAUGAUGAUAGAAUUAAAUCAUUUGAUUGGUUAUUCCGUACAUUUUUACAGUGCCUGUGAGGGAAGGCACCCAAACCAUUUUCUCAAAUCAGGACCCGACCAUGGAUGCGGCAUUGAAGAGUGCCAUGCCAAAUACAUACCACGCGACGGCGGUGGGGUAUGAUAGGAAUCCUCUGUCGACACACCCUAACUGUGAUGCAUGUCAUCGGGAGGUUUGAAAGCGAGAAGUUCAACACACUUCCCGCAUAUACAUGUUGAGGAGAUGGACUAGAGGAGCCAAAAUUCGGUUUCAUGACAUAGUUAUUACGCGGCUCCUCUCUCAGGAUGGUGAGGAUGGUGAAAGACUUGCUGAAGUUUGUUUCUAUGAUUAGGGUUGUUUAUAGGGUCGAUCAGUUUCAUAAUAUGUUGGAUGUUGUGGUAGAUGGGUUGGCCAUUCAGGUAUGCAGUAAUCAAAGUAUACUUAUUUGUUAUAUUCACCGUACAUGACUUGUAUAUGGUCAUAAUAUACCUAUUAUGAUAGUGGUAUUUCUGUAGGUUGAACAAGCAUUGACCUUGUAUGAUGGACAACAGCCAAGGGAAACUGUGGUGGCAGAUAGAGAUACCACCAGCGUUGCAGUCGCUACGUGUUGUAGUAGUGUGAUCAGGAGAGAGAUUGCAACGAAGUACACCCCGCAGAGCAGACCAAGUAAGAACAACCAGCGUGGGAAACAUAUCACAGAUACGGUCGCAUGAGGCAGUGUAACAAGUUUAGGAAGAUUCGUGCAAAGGAAGUUCAAUCCGAACAAGCAGUCGCAAUGGACGUGGAAAUGGAGGACUUACUCAAUAAUGAUGUUAUACAUCAGUGCAUCGCAUUUUUGCAGGCACAGGAGAGCACCACUGCUACUGGCAACCCCCCUCGAUUGAGAGUGGCCCUUGAUAGGGUAAUCGUUAAUUAUUUAAUGGUCAUUAUGGAGAAAAGCCUACCUGUAACGCUAGCAGAACUGUAGCAUUAUAUAUGUACACUAGUCACGUAGUUAUGUAAGAACAUUGCCAUAUUAUGGGUAGAUCAGUGACAUAUUUUUGGUAAAACAGUACCAUAUUUUGGUAGCACAGUCUUGUAGUGUUGGAAGAAUAGUGGCAUAUUUUGGGAUGUAGAAGAAGACACAUUGUUCGGAAUUAUAAUAUUAUAUGUGGUGCUAGUAUUGACAUAUUCUGCUACAAGGAUUACACCAUGUGGUAGGUCCACUUCAAGGAAUACAACAAGGAUACUACUGUUACCCUAAACAAUAGGCAUAACAUCAAUGUACAAUAGCCAUAACAACGUUACACAUACUUUCUUAGGUUCAAACUGCCAACCAUUGUUCUUCAAAUGGAAAAUGUGACCUUCAUCGCCAUGGCACUCAAAUGGAAGGCCGUCUGGAUGCUCUGAUAUGAUAGUGCGAAUGACGUUCCCUGCUUCCUUGAAAUUGACUUUAGCCUUCCAAAAGGUAUCCUUCCACAUUUCAAUCCGACUGACCAAGUCAACGUGGCUGCUCCUUUUGUCUCCAGAGUGAAUGAUACCUUGGUCCACGAGGCUCCCCUAUCAAUGAUUUCCAUGCAUAAUACAAACACCCACUACUGUACUAGUAUCAACCAGAACUGAAAGUAUACAUAUCAUUUUUCAUAUUCAUGCAACCUUACUUUCCAAUCGUGACAUUCUAGUAAGUCUCUUGUAAAGCUCCCCAUACACAUAAACUAUGCUCUUAAAUAGGGCAUAAUUCAGAAACCAUUUAUAACGAAACCGUAAGAGUAACAUGGUACUAGCAUACCAUACACAUAUCCAUAACAUAACAUAGAUAUCUAACUAGGAGGGUUGGUCGAAGUUCCAGCUUCUAUGAGGAGGUCCACUACCCCUUCAAUUAAAAUAUGGGGAUGAAGUCGACUCCAUUGUGAGAGGACCAGGCGACAGAAGUACUUGAGCAUGUCCUUAAUCAUAACGUUCUCCUCAUCCCACCACUUCGUUUGGUCCGUUGUAAAACAACCAAUGUGUUGCCCCAUAAAACGAAGUGCCAUACAGGCCACACCUGUGAAUGUCAGGCUUUUGUGGCGCAGACACCACCCUCAACUUGAAGUCCUUGAUAUCCACGUGAGUGUUAAGAAGAACAAAUGACCUCGCAUAUUGCAUUAUCUGUGUUCUUGUCGGCUUGUUGUAUGGCUUGGUCUCAAAGUCCUUCUUAUAGAUAAGGCUAUUGAGAAUAACUCUUUCCUUUUUCUCCAUGUCCAACCCAAAGACAUAGAAGUGCUUGAAACUAUUUCCCCUUAUGUUGGGAAGAAGACCGAACACACAAAUAUAAUAUAGUAAUCACAUCAGAUUGUAUAUCAACUGCAUACCACAAAUACAAUACAUACAUAUUUCACGGAACUCAAGCCCUGGAGGUACUUCUUAUUUAAGAAAUCCUUGCAAGUUGGUGGGAAUUUAGAUUGAGUUAGUGAAAACUCAAUCUCAUUUUCAACUUUUGUCCUAGCAGGAGUUUGAAGCCAUAACACAGUCUAACUACACACAUAAAAAAUCACACUUACUAACAAGGAAUAGUCAGAUUAUACUCAUAACACAGUUAAAUUGGCAACAUAACAGAGGCAAAUUGUAUUCAUAACACACACAUAACAUAGAAAGACAGUUAAGUAACUUUGACGAUUCAAACAAUACUUGUAGUAAUUGAAAUAAGCCCAUAUAGUCUUUUUAUUGUGUUGUUGUUAGCCAGUAAAUUGUCAUUAUUGAACUGGUUGCAGAAUGCAUCAAUCAGUUUUGAUGUGCACCUGGUUUGAAUAAUAGACGGUCUCCAACUCAAGCUUCAUGACUUCCAUGCCUUUUUUUCCGGAAAGUCGCAUAUAAUGCAGCUGUUGAUAGGAAACAAUACUGCACUAGUUGUAGCCAUAACACAAAUGUAACACAAACGUAACAAAACGUAACACAAAUGUAACACAAAAAUAAAGGAUAUAUAACAUAGUGAGAAAUGAUAUGUACUCCCUUUCAACACUAGAUAUGGCAUAAGUUACUAUCUUGCUCUCAACUAGUGUUAAUUCAUGUUGAAGUCUAUUUGUGAGAACGAUCUUCAUGCUAGUCUUUUGUCGGUAAUAUGCAAUUGGAAUUGGAUUCUCUGAAUCACCUACCAAGUCCACUACAACUUGUCUCCACCCGGAGUUGCCUUUGUCGAUCCACCCACUAACUCCAAGAUGGCUUCUUUUGCGGUCAUUCUGUUGGUCCACUUCAACUUCCUUCUAUUUUCCUUGGCAACCUGCUCCUCUUCCUUUUCCUUUUCGGCUUCAUUAUCUUCAACCUUCUCUUCUUUCUUUUCUUCAUCCCUAUCAUCUGACUUCUCAUCUUACUUUUCGUCUGCAUUUGCAUCCUCCUCACAGUCACUACCAUCACAAUUUUCACCCUUGUUGUCAUCAUCAUCAUCAUCAUCAUAACCAUCGUCAUCUUCCUCCUCAUCUUCACCAUUGUCUUUAUCAUCAUCAUCACCAUCGUUAUUGUCCAUGAAAUCACCGUAGCUCUCGUCUUCAAACUCAUUACGAAACUCCACGUCAACAACUCCCUUGCCCUUCCCUAGUAAUAGGUUCUGGACAGACGCACUCCUAUCCAGUCACAACUAUAAUUAGCAAGGCAGUUGUCCUGCAUUGCACCUCGAUCGUCGCAACCUCUGCUAACAAUGUUUGCUGCAAUCAUGGUAUGAAGAUGCCUUCAGAUUAACCCAUAUACGAGAUAUAUAACACUUAGGUAAUUCAAAUAUACCACCAUCAGAACAGUACAAUAGUCGUGAAAAGCAGUUCACUGGCACAUAACAGAACAACAACAUAUCUUACGUUUAACGUCCAUAGAACAUUGUAAUAACACCCAUGGAUCAGUUACCUGUUAUGAAGAUGCAAGUUGUACUAUCGCCGUCUACUUGUCCAUUCUAGGGUUCGUUAAUCAUGUUCCCCUAUGCUGAUGCACAUUCACCCCAAAGGUAAGGAAAUCUAGCUCGAGACUUUGUCGAAAAUGUCUUGAGCCUAAGUGGGAGUAAUAGGUUUCAAGCCAGCUACAAGAGACGCCCUCUCACUCAACAUGAAUGACCAGCUGCCGUUAGGAGUACUUAUCCUUCUCAUCAUUUUGAUGACAACAUCGCAUCUUAGUAGGAACAAGUGGGAUGCUCUUUCGGAUCGAUACCAGAAAGAUCAACCAUGUCCAGAAAAUGCAGCUGACACAAACAACCGAGGAUAUCAAGAUUAGACAAUCAACCAACAGUAGUCUGCAUCAACAUAAGAACACUGUACAACUAUUAUAACACAACGAUAGCAUAAAUAUAAUAGCAAUAUAACUUAACAGUAACACUUACCACCAUGAAGUUCAUGUCCCUGCUGGGAUAGGACGCCUUCUGAUUCUUAUAGUAGUCCUCCAGACCUCUUAGCAGAUGAUUUGAGACGUCAGCCGCCCAAUUAGGAUUAGCAAUCUCAAAGUUGUGAAGGUGAAGAUACUUGGAAAACUUCAUUAUAACCCACCGGGUAUUUGUUGGAACAAGCAACGACUCAAGGGCAAGCAACAUGUACAACUUUGUAUAAGCCGUGGGAUCUUUACAAUUCUUCAUUGCAGCUUGGAGUUGAACUAUGUUGAUGUGAUUGUACUUAUUGCUCUUUGUACCGGUCACCCUUUCAAACUGCUUCAAUACCCUUAGCCCGAAAUGUUGGACAUCCACGUCGGCUAGACUUGUAUACAAGGGCAGACCAUAUACAUGGUGCACGACCUCUGACGUUACGCCCAACAGCUGACCAUCCGGGAACUUGAAAAGACCAAGUUCAGGAACAAAGGAUUGGAGGAGGAAUUGAGGAACCUCCUUAUUAAUCAUCUCUAGUUGUAGAUACAACAACCCAUAGAAGCCAGCGUCAUUGAGACAUAGACAGAUGUUAGUACGAUGCGGGUGGUCGUUUUCAAGUAGAUCAUUGGCAGCCACCAACUGUCCAAUUUUGCAACAGAAUGGCUUGCCAUUUCCCUUCUUUUUCUUCAAGCCAAUCUCCCCUAGGGGGCCCUUCUUUACAAUUGGUUGCUUUGUGGCAACUGCCUUUUCGUUAGCACAACCCUUCUUUGUCGGAUUAGUUUUGGCCACCAGACAAUCAAAUAACAUACUCAUAUUCAUAAUGUACCAAUGUCAUUAUGAUUCUCAUAACAACAAGACCAAACAAAGAUCGACAAUCAUACACAGGUACGUGAUCAUAUCAUAGUAAUAUCAUAUACGUAACAUAGGCAUUACGUAAUACUAAGAAAUACAAAUAGAUACACAAUCAUAUCAUAGACAUAAGAUAGGAAUAACAUAGGCAUCUAAUAUGCAUAACAACCAUAAACAGAAAGAUAAAUUGUAUUACACACAUAACAUAGGAACUUCAUACUAGUAAGUAGCAUAAACAAAAUAACAAUCAUAUCAUAGACAUAACGUAUGCACUUCAAAAUUGUAACAAACAUAGGCGGUCCUCAAAUCUCCCUUUUCUUGGGGGUUAACAGACACUAAUGGUGUUUUGUAGUUAGAGUCAGACUCCAAGCUCUAAAAGGAGGACGAUUCUUUCCGUUUCUGUUUCCACUUUUUGUUGCAUGAACCUUUCUGUACCCCACGUUGAGAUUACUGUAGCUCUGUGAGCCAUUUUAAAGAUUGAUGAGGGGAGAUGAGAACUCCUUUGUUAGUCUUCUCUAUAGGAAACUACGAGAAAGGAGGAAAACUUAUUAGAGCCUUAUAAAAUACCCUAAAAACCAAUCAUAUAUAUACGAAGCCUUAAGGAAGGUACAACAUAAAAAAAAAGUUAUCAGGUUUGGUGGUUCUAACCGUCAAUGUAUAGGUGGAUGAGGAUGAAUGUAACUGCUUUGGUGGAUGAGGACGAAGGUAACUACAACUUCACCAAGAGAGAGGCCUACAAACCUGAAGCCACCUUCAAAACUUCCACCCAGUACUUUGGAUCUACUGGCGGAUGAAUUUGAUUCCUCCAUGCAACGGCUUCACCGUCGCCGGUGAGAGGAGAGAGAUUAACAGGAAGAGGGAGACACUGAUGUUGAAGAAAGAGAUGGAGAGAAUGAAGAAAGAGAUGGAAAAGAGGGAGAGAAUGAAGAAAGUGAUGUGAAAGAGGGGUGACAGAAUAGUGAUAUGACCGGUCUGACACAAGGAUUGAAAAAAAUCGCAAAACAUUUUCAAUUUCCCAUUCUCGAUAAUGAAAUUCGAAUCUACGGAUGAAAAAAAGAAUUGAAUAUUAAAUAUAAAUAAAUAAAUUCUCGUUCCCAACCCCUAGAAGAAAGAUAGCCGUCUGAUCGAAGUCAACGAGGAGACGGAUUCCCAGUCGUCAGAUCAAGCUGUCUAGCCGUACAACUUGACUUUCCAUGCCAAUCAUUAACAUUUUUGCCCAACCGAGGCACCCUGUUUGUCUCCAGUUUGAUGAGUUCUUGCCGGUGAACCAAUCAACAAUGAAGAAGCUCCGAUGGAGGGCCCAUAAACUCACUAACAACUAGGUAAGGAUCAUGAAUGUUUUCAUAAGCUUAAUUUAAUAUUUUCUUAAGCUUAACCAGAUCUAUACAACCCUCCAUUGCCAGAUUCAAGUUUCGCCAGAGCCGCCGCCGUCUCUAUUUCUCAAUUUAAUCUCCUUUAUUUUGAAACCAGGUGAGGAGAGUUUCCCCUAAGUUAAUUUGGGGCUUCACAAUGGUUUGAAGUGGGAUUGAUCUCACCUGAGUUGACCUCCAGAACCCGAAUUUUGGAAUAUGGGUUUCGGCUCAUCGGGGAAGACGACUGGAAAACAUGUCAUGACGGUGCCUGAAGUUCCAGUGAUUUCAAUUCAGUCAUUGGACUUCUUGAGGCCAGAUCCGGUCACCUAAAUUUCCUAGAUGGCAAGCGUAAAACAAUACUUUAAAAUGUUAACAAAUUGCUUAAUAACGAGACCUAUAUAUCUGUUGUGACUCUAAACUUUAGGAUUAUGACAUUUGACCCAAAUACAUAAAAGAUAUUUAAGUGUUGAGGGUUAACCCUAAUUGAUCUUGAUAUGCUAUUCAAGGACAUUAAGGAUAAAUACAGGAUUUCUGAACUCGUAAAAGGAUUAAGGAAAAUGGAUUCUUUCGUUAUAAGGGAUCAUUAGUAAAAAGUAAUCAUGAUUUUGGAAAAGCCUAGUUUUUCCUUAUCACUUUAACAAUGGAGAUAAACUACAGAUACUUUGAGUCAUCACUCAGAUCUUUUUAUUUCAAAUCAACUCUGAGCCUAAUACCUAAAUUCCCGUAAUCAGGUUCUCAGAGUCGAAACCACUUUCAAGCGUGGAUCUCGACCUUUUUUUUGGGACCCUCACCACUUCACUUUUCUAGGCAAGUGGUUUAAGGGGGUAAAUUCUUACGUUGCUGUGUUUAGGAAUGAACCUAGAAUUAAAUGAUUACUUGAUCUAUUUGUUACUAUGUGUUUUGUAGUGAGUUAUGAUUGGUCCUAUACUCAUGUUGAUGUUAUGUAUCAUGCUUGCGUGUUACUUCCUGAUUAGUUAUGUUACUAGUAAAUCCUCAUCGUUGCUAAAUUCAUGUUGAUGCCAUGUGUCAUGUUUCCAUGUUUUUUCCUUGAUAUGUUAUGUUUACUUUUAAAUUCUUAUCCUUACCAUAUUCAUGUUGUUACCAUGUGAUAUGUCUUGGUUAUUAUCAUGUUAUGUUAUAAAUCACCUAAACAACAAGUAAGCCUAUGAUAGGCAAUAUAAUAACACGUAUCUCGCUAACUAGACCGCCACCCUCUUAUGUUACCUUCAUGUUUCACGUUUGGGCGGAUGGUAGGAAUCAUGUUUAUGGUUCGAUGAAUACGUACUCCCGGACUCUCACGUUUACAUUUUGGUGGUUUGCUAGUUAAUCAGGAGGCCCCUAGAUGUCAUGUCAAGUAAGCAAGCCAAGUAAAUAAUGUCAAGUAAACCAUGUUAAGUAAAUCAUGAUAAGUGAAUCAUGUCAAGUCUAAUCAUAUGUAAUCCCUAAUAACAUUAUUGUUUGGAUUGCUAACCUAAUGUGAAUGUGUACUCAAGAACUAAAAGCUUAUGUAAAACACUAAUAGUUAAGCACGCAAGACUGACCCCAAACCACUCACCAGGUCAUACUAGAGAUACCGGCAUAGAGACUACCUAAAAGAACUUUAGUGGAUGUUGAGGAUGUCACAUGAGUUAGAGUGAGUGAUUUUGGAGGAUGGACUACCAUGUUUACUCUCUUUCGAGUUUCUAGUACUUGAGACUUGGGUUUUGUUUUUUAUUUUUUCAUACUUGAUUUCAGAUGUUCGGGUUGCUCACUUGUAAGAGCCGAUUUACUUUGGAUUUAUGUGUAGUUUUCAAAAAAGUCUAUACCUUUCUCUUUUGACUAUCUUGAGUCUUGUGAUCUCUCCAAGGAAAUUUGGUAUUUAAAUAAAUGAAAAGGAUUUGUGAAAAUUUGGGUCGUGUCACAUACCACUUCCCCUUGCAACUCCUUUGAUGCCAAUAAACCUAAAAUACUCACAAAAUCACCCAAAAACCAACAUUAAAUGUCCCCAAACGGGCCAAGUGGAUAAAAACACAUAUUUGAGUUAAAGUUCCUAAGAACUACCCAGAAUAGCAUGAUAUGCACGAAAUUUGGCUUAAAAUACGAUAGAUGAAUGCAAUAAAUCAAACACUACAACUAACCCCACACUUAAGCUUUGCUUGUCCUCAAGCAAAAAACUGAUAAAAGCUAUGAUAAACAUCCACAAUUGAAUGACGUUACUAGCAAGGCAAAGCAAACCCAUAUUCCACAAAGUACCCCUAUAUUUCAACACAUGCAAGUAAACCCUUAAAAUCAACCAAUCUAGGAAGUAAGGGUCUCAUCAAAAGUUGUCCAACUUUUCAUACAUCAUCCGCCAUGGUAUACCACCCAUCUAGACUUUCUCUCAAAUGGCACAAUUUAAAAAUGAAGUCAAGAUCAUCUCACUCAAAGUGUUUAGGGAUAGUGUUUGUGAGCUCAUUCCUCAACUCUGACGCAAACUUCAACACUCGCACAUCAACCUACUUUUUAAUCAUUACAUCAUAGAACUUCAAACACUAUUCUAGAGGUCUUUUAUUAAGGAUUGUAAUCUGAAAAAAAGAAUAAGAGGAGAAAUGAAUUUGGUGGUAGGUGUACAUAUUGGCCGACGAUUCAGUCCACUCUAAACAUGGAGCUAAAGCUACUUAAAACAAACAACCACGAUGCAAGGAUUCAAUUUCCAUCAAGAGCUUAAUACUAGCUCCUCUAUCCCUUAAAUAAGCUACUACUCCUUCGAGCUUUUCCAUCAAGAGCUUUAUACUAGCUCCCCUAUCUCUGAAAUAAGCUACUACUACUUCAAGCUUUUCCAUCAACACUUGGCCUCAUGUGCAACAAAAUCCAGAAACUGGGUGAGGAACACGAUUUAGACAACAAAUGUAGCAUCCUCUGAUAAUGCAGAUAAUAUUUCCUUAAGACCUCAUGUUAAGGCAUUAGAAAAGAAGCUAAAUGAUUUUACUUUGAAAGUUUCUAACCCCCUGCUACUUAUGUUUAUACUUGUGCUUGGGGUGAUGUUCCUUACAGCCAGGUAGAAUGUGAUAUUUUCCUCACCAACAAAUUCAUGAUGAUGGAAGAAGUGGAUUUUGUGCGACAGGGCUACCCCUUCAAUCAGCAGGGAUAUCAGGAAUUCAGAGCAAAGAACGCCGAAGGCCGACGAUUCAACUUCACAUACCCUGGAAGGCGUUGUGACUUCUACAAGUGUAGGAUGGAGGAUUACAAUGUCAAAGACAACAUCACUCCCCAAAGACAAAACUCACACCAUUAAGGAAACUCGAGCAACAACUACCAAGGUCCACCAGGAUUUCCAAUCAAGCCAACUAAGCAGCAACAACAACAUAAUUCGGACCCUGCUGGAGGAAUAAAUGAAGACAUCAUCCAGAUGAUGAAAACCAUGCAUGUCUUAAUUAUAGCUCAAAAGCCUGCCAACACAAACUUUAUCCUCACUCCAGAGGAAAUCAAGAAGCAUGUUCGAUUCUAUAUCCAUUGGUAGUCAAGAAGAAGGGGCUUUGAAAGGCAUUUUAGAGAUUUAUAGAGAUCAUCAAGAAGAAGGAGGUUACAUUAACCUUUCUGGAAGCUUUCAUAAAGAUUCUAGCAUAUGCAAAGUUCUUGGUGAUGCUAAACAAGAAGAUAAAUCUUAGUGAUGCCACAGAGGUCUCACUCUAUGAAGAAGGAGCAAUAAUCCAAGUUGGAUCGACAAAGCAAAAAGACCUAGGGAGCUUUACUUUACCAUGCAUGAUUAAGAAUGUUAAAGUCUAGGGAGCUUUAUUUUACCAUGCAUGAUUAAGAAUGUUAAAGUUAGUUAGAGUCUUGCUGAGCUAGGUGCUAGUAUAAAUGUUAUGCCCCAAAGCUUAUAUGAGAAACUAGAUAUAUGUGAACUUAGACAAACUAAGAUAGUUCUUCAACUUGCUGAUAGGUCUUUGGUAAAACCCAGGGUAGUCGUAGAUGAUAUUUCAAUUUGUGUAGGACCUUUUGAAUUUUCUGCUAAUUUUGUUGUUCUAGAUACCCAUGAGAAUGACAGUCAUUGGCUUAGUCCUACGAAGGUUGUACCUAAGAAGGUGGGUUUCAGGACCAUUUUUGUUUGAUGAUAACUAUAUACAUGCAUUUAAUUUUCUAAAAAUGAAGUUGACCACUGCGUCGAGAUUAGUCUCCCCGGAUUGGGAGGCACCUUUGUAACUAAUUUGUGAUGCUAGUGAUUUUGCAGUGGGUGUAGUGCUAGGACAGUGGAGAGAGAAGAGAUUACAUCCCAUAUACAUCAUGAGCAAGAUGCUUAAUGAUGCACGGAAAAACUACACAACUACUAAGAAUGAGCUCUUGUCGAUUGUCUUUGCAUUCAAGAUGUUCAGGUCCUAUUUAAUGUUUAUCCCAGACUAUGGUUUUCACUGACCAUUCUGCUCUUAACUAUCUUCUAGCUAAACAAGAUGCGAAGCCGAUAUUUAUUCGUUGGGUGUUGCUCCUUCAAGAAUUUGACAACACUAUUAAGGACAAUGCGGGGUUAGAGAACAUUGCAGCUGCCCACCUAUCGCGCGUUGAACGGCCUCCUCCUGUUCAAUUAGCUCAAGGAGAGAUAAAUUAGCUCUUCCCGGAUGAUCCACUACUCCUCUUGGUAGAAGCAGAGAAAGUCUUGGAUCAUCAUCCUCAACAAACGCCCAUGGUUUUCGUACAUAGCCAACUUCCUCGCUUUCGCGGCAUUUCUAGAAGAUUAAAAAAUCAUCAGCAGCAAAGGAAACAGGUCUCCGAAGCCAAGCACUACAUCUGGGAUGAUCCUUACCUCUACCAUUCGGGCUCAGACGGAGUAAUCAAACGAUGUGUUAUGUUGCAUGAAUCACUCCACAUCAUGCUCCCUUGCCACACUAGACCUGUUGGGGGACAUCAUAGUGGAAAUCGCACAGCUCACAAGAUUUUAGAUGCGGGUUCCUACUGGAGGACGAUCUCGAAGGAUUGUGGCAGAUACGUGAAGAAAUGUGAUGCCUGUCAACAUACAUGUAACAUUUCAAAUAAGAAUGAAAUUCCUAUUACCAUCUCCAUGCUUGUAGAAGUUUCUAUUGUGCGGGGUAUUAGUUUUAUGGCCAUUUCCCAUAGUCCCAUGGUAACAAGUAUAUCCUUGUUAUUUUGGAUCAUGUGUCAAAGUGGGCAGAGGCAUAAGUGCUGCCUACUAACGAUGCUUGGAUAGUGGGAAAGUGUAUCACACGGCUUUUCAUGCAUUUUGGUGCCCCUCAUGUUAUUGUUAGUGGUAGGGGCACUCACUUCUAGAGUCAAUUCGAUCUUGUGUUCCAAAAAUUUGGUGUAACUCAUCGAUUAACCACUGCUUAUCAUUCACAUACAAGCGGUCAAGCGGAGGUGACGAAUCGUGAGCUGAAGCGGAAUCUUGAUUGACAGUCGAUCAGUCUCACAAGGACUGGUCAAUUCGGCUCGAUGAAGCUCUAUGGGCUUAUCGAACUGCCUUCAAGACUCCUAUCAGUACUUUGUUGUAUU
rnacentral:lncRNA from 1 species